rnacentral:lncRNA from 1 species
GAGGGGGGGAGUGCGCCAUGUUACCCUCGAUGGGCACCGAACAUGGUGUCUCCGGUGAGCUGCAAGCGGGUAAUCCGAGUGGACGUUCAUGCCCCGUUCGUUGGGGGUCGGCUAGGGGCCCAGAGGCACGCCCAAAAGUACCUGCGGGUGAUUUGCCGGACCCGGUCCCCUGGCGACGGGGUCCGAGGGCUCGAUGCCUCCCUCCGAUGGGAUUCCGUUACAAGAUCGUUCCCGCUGGUCUCGGAAAUGUCCUAGGGUACCUCGGGAGCGCAGCCCGAGCCUCGGUUAUGUAUCGAACGUACCCCUGGUCAUCCCUCGCUCGGUGUCUGAGGCGACUGUGAACCCUUCGGGGGCCAGCCUUCGAACCCCUGAUCAGUAAUGGGCGCGGAGCCCGAGUAGCCUGAGGCGGCCAUGGAGCCCUUCGGGGGGCCGGCCUUCGAACCCCUGACCAGUAGUGGGUGUCGGGCCCACGCGACCUGAGGCGACUGUUGAACCCUUGGGGGGCCAGCCUUCGAACCCCUGAUCAGUAACGGGGGGCUCCGAGCCCGGUUCCUUCGCGGAGAAGGAUCCCUUUCGGGGUGUCCCCCUUUCCCGGUCCCUGUUGCAAGAGAUAGAGAAAGAGGAAAACGGAAAAGGAUACGAAAUCGGACGACGUGGCGUACCUUUUCUGACGCGUUUAUUACGGCGAAGGUGAAGCGUCGCGCGCUCCUCCUGCCAGGGGCGCCGCGUGUCCUGCCGCGGAGUUAAUGCGACGGGGCGAGUGGUUGGCGGGGCGGCCGUUGCGCGCGUGCGAUCUGUUCGAGGAACGGGUCACGGGUGCACCGUCUUCACGCCGUGAGAGGAGGCUCUCUUGCUGUCUCAGGAUGGGAUGUGAGCCUGGCUGACGACGUGACCGCUGCGCCCGCCGCCUGCCACCGCUAUUACUGCAGGCCCCCUUUCGGUCGCUUUGACCGACGCGCCAGUCUGGCGCUGCUGGGUCGCCUCGAGUCGUGGCAUAGGCUUCGCAACCGAAGAGGCGCGAUGGUGGCACAAGUGGCGGUGCGGUUGCUUGCAUGCAGCAACUGGCGCGCCGGUUGCUCGACUCGUGGGCCUGGGUUCCAAGCUGGCGUGUCAGAAGUCGGAGAAGCGCGUCCGUCUGGCGCGGUUGCAUGCCGCCUGCAUGGCUGCCCGCCCCUUCUGCCCGUUGGUCUGGGCGAAAAUGGGGGGUCGCCUGUAACCGCGCCAGACGGUCGUGCGCACCACGCGCGGCGGUUUGGCUUCUUCUGCCCUGAGCCGGCUUGCAUGACAUGCGGGACCCAGCCCCCGAGUCGCAGGGGAGGGCCUUGGAGCGUGUUGGAGAAGACUCGGCCCGUGGCGCCUGGGGGCGCACGUAGGGAGAGUCGCCUUUAAAAGGAGGGAGGCUCCUUUCGUAGGGCAACCAUGUCUUCUUCCUCCCUUAAGCGUCGGGUCUUCCCAUCUUCCAAGCCCCCGGAUGGGGGGUAUCCGCCGCCUUUCCGCCUCCUCGUUGGAGGAACGCAACUCCAUGGGAGUUGGUACCUCUCAGCCAUCGUUCGGCUUCAAGGAUUUUCAUCAGGCAGCCUGGUUGCUCCCUUCCGCCGGUGGCCACCCAAGACGGUGACCUCCAGUUCCUGGAUGGGGAGAGGCAGACCAGGCUGUGAUCCCGCCCUCAGCAUCGGGUGUGUUCGUCAUCCUCGCUGGGGCGGGGGCCGAGGCGAGCCGGGGCUCUACCUCGCGUGCGGGUCGGCGAACCACCUCCUCUUCCAGCUUCUGGUGGUGGCAAUCGUCCUCCCGCGCUGCGACGGAGUCAUCCUCCAGUCAUGCCGGGGAAGGCGAACUGUUGCUGUCCAGCUAGGAUGCAACAUUCCGUCUUCCCCCUCGCAUUCGGGGCGAGGACGGCAGCGAGGAUCUACCGGAGCGCUUGGGAGCGGCCCGCUCUUUGGCUUUGAUGGCUUGUUCGCAUCCCUUGAGCGGGACCGCGAACAAGAGCCUUCCGGUGACUGCGUUCACCUGGGGCCAUGGCUGCCGCUGCAGAGGUCGUCGCCCCGCAGGCCCGAGGUCGCUCGUACCCUCGGGGACGGAAUCGGAGUCCCGUUUGUGAUGGCACCUUGAAUGCCAGUGUUCUUCGUUCAUUGCGGCUGUCGAGGCCUGAACGUGUAUGUAAUUUUGGCACGGAGCCGUGUUUUUUUCUCAUUUUCGAGCACUAAGUCUCGCCUGUUGAUUAUCUGAACCGCUUUACCAAGCAUGAGUUGCCCCGUGUCAAGGUGACGGGUGAGGUAUCCGUAUCCCGGAGGCGUAGGAAUCCCUCGGCCCGUUCGGCCUUGCCAUGUGGGGCUCCUCUAGCUUAGAUGAAGAGACCCCUCGGCCGCCCUUCGGUGGAUCGAGGCCGGGGGUAGCGAUAUCAGUAUGAACGGAGGCGGAGUUGGCUCGAGAAUGGGAACCUGGUUGGCCGGAGCCUAGCCAUGUUGUCCGUCAGCGGAGCCGACACCAAAGUCGAUCAGCCGAGGCCUCGGGUCGGGCUGGCGCCCCUGGGAAGCCGGUUGUCCGAGGCCCCAGGGGUGACCGGCUGAGCCGCCUGCUCGGGCCGGAUUCCCGGAGGAGUCCCUGGACCGCGGCGCCGCCCGAGGCUGGGUCGGGCUUUGCUGAAGACGUCGUCGAUGCCGAGGGUGCUACGGCUCCCUUCGGCGUGAAGACCCGAGCCUGCAGGAUCAGAUCAUCUUGUAGCGUGUGCUUUCUGCGGCCGCCGAGGCCAGAAGAACACACCCUCGCUGCGCUUGCGAAGCUGCGUCUUUUUUCCUCCUGUUUCGAGCAUCUGGACUCUGUCGGUAACAGGGAUGUUUGUGUGAGCGAGAGUUGCUUUUCGCGGAAGGGACGAGUGAGGUAUCCGUAUCCCAGAGGCGUGGGAAUCCCUCGGCUCGGUCGGCCUUGCCGCUUACGCGUACUUUCACCCGUCCAUGAGGCCCUGUCCCCGACUUAGUCGAGAAAGCUUGAAGGACUGCUUCGGUAGGAGAGCUUCCGAACGUGAUGACUCGUUCGGUCCACGGAGUCGCUUUAUCCGAGCGCAAGUUACUUAUCGCAGAAAGGGACGAGUGAGGUAUCCGUAUCCCGGAGGUGUAGGAGUCCCUCGGCUCGGUCAGCCUUGGCUGCUUACGUGUACCUCGUCGUUUCCAGGAUCCGCUUUCCGAAGUAGUCAAGAAGCACGAAAGAAAUCCUGCUAAAAAGAGAUCCUUUUUCGAGGAAAAAUUCGACGCAGGGGGGGUCUCCCCCCUUUUUCAUGGGAGUUGGUACCUCUCAGCCAUCGUUCGGCUUCAAGGAUUUUCAUCAGGCAGCCUGGUUGCUCCCUUCCGCCGGUGGCCACCCAAGACGGUGACCUCCAGUUCCUGGAUGGGGAGAGGCAGACCAGGCUGUGAUCCCGCCCUCAGCAUCGGGUGUGUUCGUCAUCCUCGCUGGGGCGGGGGCCGAGGCGAGCCGGGGCUCUACCUCGCGUGCGGGUCGGCGAACCACCUCCUCUUCCAGCUUCUGGUGGUGGCAAUCGUCCUCCCGCGCUGCGACGGAGUCAUCCUCCAGUCAUGCCGGGGAAGGCGAACUGUUGCUGUCCAGCUAGGAUGCAACAUUCCGUCUUCCCCCUCGCAUUCGGAGCGAGGACGGCAGCGAGGAUCUACCGGAGCGCUUGGGAGCGGCCCGCUCUUUGGCUUUGAUGGCUUGUUCGCAUCCCUUGAGCGGGACCGCGAACAAGAGCCUUCCGGUGACUGCGUUCACCUGGGGCCAUGGCUGCCGCUGCAGAGGUCGUCGCCCCGCAGGCCCGAGGUCGCUCGUACCCUCGGGGACGGAACCGGAGUCCCGUUUGUGAUGACACCUUGAAUGCCAGUGUUCUUCGUUCAUUGCGGCUGUCGAGGCCUGAACGUGUAUGUAAUUUUGGCACGGAGCCGUGUUUUUUUCUCAUUUUCGAGCACUAAGUCUCGCCUGUUGAUUAUCUGAACCGCUUUACCAAGCAUGAGUUGCCCCGUGUCAAGGUGACGGGUGAGGUAUCCGUAUCCCGGAGGCGUAGGAAUCCCUCGGCCCGUUCGGCCUUGCCGUGUGGGGCUCCUCUAGCUUAGUUGAAGAGACCCCUCAGCCGCCCUUCGGUGGAUCGAGGCCGGGGGUAGCGAUAUCAGUAUGAACGGAGGCGGAGUUGGCUCGAGAAUGGGAACCUGGUUGGCCGGAGCCUAGCCAUGUUGUCCGUCAGCGGAGCCGACGCCAAAGUCGAUCAGCCGAGGCCUCGGGUCGGGCUGGCGCCCCUGGGAAGCUGGUUGUCCGAGGCCCCAGGGGUGACCGGCUGAGCCGCCUGCUCGGGCCGGAUUCCCGGAGGAGUCCCUGGACCGCGGCGCCGCCCGAGGCUGGGUCGGGCUUUGCUGAAGACGUCGUCGAUGCCGAGGGUGCUACGGCUCCCUUCGGCGUGAAGACCCGAGCCUGCAGGAUCAGAUCAUCUUGUAGCGUGUGCUUUCUGCGGCCGCCGAGGCCAGAAGAACACACCCUCGCUGCGCUUGCGAAGCUGCGUCUUUUUUCCUCCUGUUUCGAGCAUCUGGACUCUGUCGGUAACAGGGAUGUUUGUGUGAGCGAGAGUUGCUUUUCGCGGAAGGGACGAGUGAGGUAUCCGUAUCCCAGAGGCGUGGGAAUCCCUCGGCUCGGUCGGCCUUGCCGCUUACGCGUACUUUCACCCGUCCAUGAGGCCCUGUCCCCGACUUAGUCGAGAAAGCUUGAAGGACUGCUUCGGCAGGAGAGCUUCCGAACGUGAUGACUCGUUCGGUCCACGGAGUCGCUUUAUCCGAGCGCAAGUUACUUAUCGCAGAAAGGGACGAGUGAGGUAUCCGUAUCCCGGAGGUGUAGGAGUCCCUCGGCUCGGUCAGCCUUGGCUGCUUACGUGUACCUCGUCGUUUCCAGGAUCCGCUUUCCGAAGUAGUCAAGAAGCACGAAAGAAAUCCUGCUAAAAAGAGAUCCUUUUUCGAGGAAAAAUUCGACGCAGGGGGGGUCUCCCCCCUUUUAGCCCCCGAGGGAGGGUCGGGCUUUGCCGAGGCUAGGCCGACCCUUCCUUGACGACUAAACUUUGCGUAGGUGCGAGGUAUAUGAACAACUUGAAAACAUCUUAAGGGUAGAAGCGACGUAGCUGUUUGAUGUUCCAAGCGUUGCCGUAGAUCUCGCCUUGAUUGCUGGCCAGCUUGUAUGUUCCGGGCUUCAGAACUUUGGCGAUGACGAAUGGCCCUUCCCAAGGGGGCGUGAGCUUGUGCCUCCCUCGAGCGUCUUGUCGCAGCCGAAGCACCAGGUCGCCCACCUGGAGUUCUCGGGACCGGACCCCUCGGGCGUGGUAGCGUCGCAGGGACUGUUGGUACCGCGCCGAGUGUAGCAAGGCCCUGUCCCGAGCUUCCUCCAGCUGGUCCAGCAAUUCCUCACGGCUAGCUUGGUUGCUUUGUUCGGUGUAGGCCCUCGCCCUCGGGGAGCCGUAUUCCAGGUCAGUGGGCAAGAUAGCUUCAGCCCCGUAGACCAGGAAAAACGGCGUGAAGCCCGUGGCACGACUCGGCGUCGUCCUUAGGCUCCAGACCACCGAGGGGAGUUCCUUCAUCCAUCGCCUGCCGAACUUGUUGAGGUCGUUGUAGAUCCGAGGCUUGAGCCCUUGUAGAAUCAUGCCGUUGGCACGCUCUACUUGCCCAUUCGACAUGGGAUGAGCCACGGCGGCCCAGUCCACCCGGAUAUGGUGAUCCUCGCAAAAAUCCAAGAAUUUUUUGCCGGUGAACUGGGUGCCGUUGUCGGUGAUGAUGGAGUUCGGGACCCCGAAGCGAUGGAUGAUGUUGGUGAAGAAUGCCACCGCCUGCUCGGACCUGAUGCUGUUCAGAGGUCGGACCUCGAUCCACUUGGAGAAUUUGUCGAUGGCGACCAGCAGGUGCGUGUAGCCCCCGGGCGCCUUCUGCAAGGGACCGACGAGGUCCAGACCCCAUACAGCGAAGGGCCAGGUGAUGGGUAUUGUCUGCAGAGCCUGAGCGGGCAGGUGUGUCCGCUUGGCAUAGAAUUGGCACCCUUCGCAGGUGCGGACAAUUCUAGUGGCAUCAGCCACCGCCGUUGGCCAGUAGAAGCCUUGCCGGAAAGCAUUUCCGACAAGGGCUCGGGGCGCCGCGUGGUGGCCGCAAGCCCCCGAGUGUACUUCUUGCAGCAGCUCCCGACCUUCGGCGAUGGAGAUGCAUCGCUGGAGGAUGCCCGAGGGGCUGCGAUGGUAGAGCUCCUCUUCGUCGCCCAGCAAGACGAAUGACUUGGCGCGUCGCGCUACCCGCCGAGCCUCGACUUGGUCGAGGGGUAGCUCUCCUCGACGGAGAUAUUGCAGGUACGGGGCCUGCCAAUCUUGGUCUGGCGUGGCCCCGCUCUGCCCUUCCUCGACGUUCAAUGCCCCGCCCUCGGGGGCCGAGGGUACCUCGGGCUGGGCCGAGGGUACCUCGGGCUGAGCCGAGGGUACCUCGGGCGCGUCGUCGAGCUUGACGGAGGGUUGAUGCAGAUCCCGGGAGAAGACGUCCGGGGGGACUGUCGUUCGCCCUGAGGCUAUCUUAGCCAGCUCGUCUGCGGUUUCGUUGUAGCGCCGAGCGAUGUGGUUGAGCUCGAGCCCGAAGAACUUGUCUUCCAGGCGCCGAACCUCGUCGCAGUAGGCCUCCAUCUUCGGGUCGCGGCAGUGGGAGUUCUUCAUGACUUGGUCGAUGACGAGCUGCGAAUCACCGCGAGCGUCGAGGCGUCUGACCCCUAGCUCGAUGGCGAUCCGCAAUCCGUUGACCAGAGCUUCGUACUCGGCCAUAGGACUGGGCGUUCGGGUUUACCCGAAAUUUCGGGUCGGGUUUUUUGGGUUUUUUAUAUUUCGGGUUUCCAACAGUAGAACCCGUACCCGUACCCAAACUUUCAGGUACCCGCAAUUUCGGGUACCCGUAAUUUCGGGUUUGGGUUUGGGUAAAAUUCGGGUACCCGCUAUUUUAACUGCAUCUCAAGUAGCAAGUUUGGGGGGUGAAAGAGAAGCUCUGCGCCUCUGCUUGUACAUAGAAACUUUUUCAAGCAAAACAAAUAGAAAGGUCUGAACGGUUUUGGUUGAACUAAAGCAACAACAAAGCAACUUGCCAAGCAUUAGCAACGCCAGUCGCCAGUGCCACUCGCCAGGCCGCCAACGCCAGUCGCCAAGGCAGCAACAGCAAAGCAACGACGUGGAGGCAGCAACAACAAAGCAACGACGUGGUGCCCAGGACUGGCCGAGGCCGACUGCGUGGUGCGCCGGGCUCGUGUGUGCGUGUGCCUGCAGCCAGAGCCUGGGACAGAUGAUGAGAGGAGUGCGCUGGGAGCCGGAAUGGAGCCUGGAGGAGGACGCCGUCGGCGGUCGGCCCGUCGGCCGCCUGGGAGCUACUGAGCUAGGGUUGUUGCCUUGCUUUGCUGGGACGGCUGGGAUGAGAUCAGGGACAGCCGGACUCCGGACAGGGAGUAGGCAGAAGCAGCGACACAGCCCAGAGCCCACGACCAACAGCGCAGCCCAACAGGCAACAGCCCACGGCUAGGACCAGUUCGGGUAGAAUGGGUACUUCGGGUACCGCGGGUGAAUACCCGAUUAGGCCCAAAUUUAGUUCGGAUAUUUAGUUUUGUUACUCGUUGGAAUUGUUCGGGUAACGGGCAUCGGGCUAAACGGAUACGGGUUCGGGUAUUUUGGGUAACGGGCUUCGGGCUCGGGUUUUAUGCCCAGUCCUACUCGGCCACAUUGUUGGACGCCGGGAAGUGGAGGCGCAGCACGUAGCGCAAGUGCUUUCCGAUGGGCGAGAUGAAGAGCAGGCCCGCGCCGGCCCCCGUCUUCAUCAGCGACCCGUCGAAAAACAUGGUCCAGAGCUCCGGUUGGAUCGGAGUCGUUGGCAGUUGGGUGUCGACCCAUUCGGCCACGAAAUCCGCCAACACCUGGGACUUGAUGGCCUUCCGAGGGGCGAACGAGAUCAUUUCGCCCAUGAUCUCCACCGCCCACUUUGCGAUCCUGCCCGAGGCCUCUCGGCACUGGAUGAUCUCCCCCAGGGGGAAGGAUGACACCACAGUUACCGGAUGGGACUCGAAGUAGUGUCGUAGCUUCCGCCUUGUCAGGAUCACAACAUACAGCAGCUUUUGAACUUGUGGGUAGCGGAUCUUAGUCUCGGACAGCACUUCGCUGAUGAAGUAGACCGGCCUCUGAACGGGCAAUGUAUGCCCUUCCUCCUGCCUUUCGACCACAAUCGCGGCGCUGACCACCUGAGUGGUCGCGGCGACGUAGACCAAGAGGGCUUCUCCGUCCGCCGGCGGCACCAAGACAGGCGCCUUUGUAAGGAGCGCCUUCAGGUUGCCGAGGGCUUCCUCGGCCUCAGGGGUCCAAGCGAAACAUUCGGCCUUCCUUAAGAGGCGGUACAGAGGCAGACCUCUUUCGCCGAGGCGUGAGAUGAAGCGGCUCAGGGCCGCGAGGCAUCCCAUGACCCUCUGUACCCCUUUUAAGUCCUUGAUGGGUCCCAUGCUGGUGAUGGCCGCAAUCUUCUCCGGGUUGGCUUCGAUGCCUCGCUCGGAGACGAUGAACCCUAGGAGCAUGCCUCGGGGUACCCCGAAGACACACUUCUCAGGAUUAAGUUUGACUCCUUUCGCCUUGAGACACCGGAAUGUCACUUCAAGGUCGGAGAGGAGGUCGGAAACCUUCCGUGUCUUGACUACGAUGUCAUCGACGUAGGCCUCGACUGUGCGACCGAUGUGUUCGCCGAACACAUGGUUCAUGCACCGCUGGUACGUCGCGCCUGCAUUCCUCAAGCCGAACGGCAUGGUGACAUAGCAGUACAUGCCGAACGGCGUGAUGAAAGAAGUCGCGAGCUGGUCGGACUCUUUCAUCCGGAUCUGGUGAUACCCCGAGUAGGCAUCGAGGAAGGACAGGGUUUCGCACCCAGCAGUGGAAUCCACGAUUUGGUCGAUGCGAGGCAGAGGGUAGGGAACCUUCGGACAUGCUUUGUUGAGACCAGUGUAGUCUACACACAUCCGCCAUUUCCCCCCUUUCUUCCUCACAAGCACAGGGUUGGCAAGCCAUUCGGGAUGGAAUACCUCUUUGACGAACCCUGCCGCCAUUAGCUUGUGGAUCUCUUCGCCAAUCGCUCUGCGCUUCUCCUCGUCGAAUCGGCGCAGAGGCUGUCUGACGGGUCGGGCUCCGGCCCGAAUAUCCAGCGAGUGCUCGGCGACAUCCCUCGGUAUGCCGGGCAUGUCCGAGGGACUCCACGCAAGGACGUCGGCGUUUGCGCGGAGAAAGUCGACGAGCACUGCUUCCUAUUUGGGGUCGAGCCCGGAACCGAUCCGGAUCUGCUUGGUGGUGUCGCCGCUGGGGUCGAGGGGGACGGCCUUGACCGUCUCCGCUGGCUCGAAGUUGCCUGCAUGGCGCUUCACGUCUGGAACCUCCCUGGAGAGGUUCUCCAAGUCGGCGAUGAGGGCCUCGGACUCGGCGAGGGCCUCGGCGUACUCCACGCACUCCACGUCGCAUUCGAACACGUGUUUGUACGCGCGGAUGAGCAUUGCUGCGGUUGCCAGGUUCUGACCGACCCCGCUGGAUGCGGGCGGCGGACUGAUCCUGACAUCGUUGGCGACGCGGUGCUGGAGACCUUGGGGCAGAUGACGUAUUUCUCCGGCCAGGGGUUGGCCCACCCAUGCCUGUCCGACGUCCCGACGGAUCGGCUCAAGCGCUCCUGUUCCCUCGUUGAGCCUGGCCUGCGCCUCGCGGACUUGCUCGAGUUGUGGGUCGUAACCCCCCGCCGGAGCGGGGACCACAGCUAGCUCCCGUGGGAUGUCGGCGCGAGGCACCGGCCUAGGGAGAUCACCAUCCUCCGGCAUGCCAAGAUGGUUGCCUUCGGUGGGAUCCCCUAGCUCGAUGUGGAACCAUUCGCGGCUUGGGCCGCAGCUCUCGUCGCCAAGGCUGCGGCUUCCAUCGGAACAGUCAGAUAGACAGUAGUCACAUGCGGUCAUGAAGUCCCGCACGGCACUGGGGUUGCCAAGUCCAGAGAAAUCCCAACCGAUGCUGGGAUCGUCAUCUUCCUCGGACCUAGAGGGCCCGUAGGUCGAGACGUCCGUCAGUCGGUCCCAAGGCGACCGCAUACAGAACCUCAGUGGGGUUGCACUCGCCUCAAUGAGAGCGCCCGCCAAAACGAGGUCGUUUGGCGGGUUGAGGCCGAGUCGAAAUGACGCAAGAUGGGAGUUAGUCGUUACCUUUUGGUCGACGAGGAGCGACGUAGUCACAUCGGGGACUGGUUGCGCCGUCAUCUCUGGUUCGAGGGCGACGUCCUGCAGGCUUUCCGCGAGCGCGCCGGCGUCGUCUUCUUGCUCAAGGUCAGCGUGCCGCGGGGGGACGGCGCUUGCCUCCGUCUCGAACGCGAGGUCGACGUCCGGCGUGCCUUCCGUCGGGGCGUCGGGGGCGUCGAUUCGCUCGACGGCCGACGAAGCGCGGCCUCCCGUCUGGCCUUGUCGGCUCCGCCUCCUCCUUCGUUGGCGGGGGAGAGAAUGGAGCGAGCCCGAAUGUUGCUCUUCCACCACGCGGGGAAGACGUCGUCGAUUCCGCCGCCGGCGGGCGGGUUGUCGGCCGCCAUUGUCGUAGUCGCGCGGCGGUGGAAGAAGUGUCAUGUCGUAGCUGCCGUCGAAGGACAUGAACUCAAGAGUCCCGAAACGAAGCACCGUCCCGGGCCGGAGAGGUUGCUGGAGACUGCCCAUCUGGAGCUUGACGGGGAGCUGUUCGUCAGCACGCAGCAGGCCCCUACCUGGCGCGCCAACUGUCGGCGUUUCGAGACAGGGGGGUCCCUAAGCCGACGAGUGAGUGUGCUGCGUGCCCCAGCCCAGAUGGGUCGAGCGCGUGGGCGAGCGCGAAGGGGGGAGAGGCGAGGUGGCCGGAGUCGAGCGUGAGAGAGGUGGAAGUCCCGCGGCCUUCGUGUUCGUCCCGCGCCCAGGUCAGGUGCGCUUGCAGUAGGGGGGUUACAAGCGUCCACGCGGGUGAGGGAAGCGAGCGGCCCCAAGAGAGCGCCUGUCCCGUCCUCGGUCCCGCGCGACCAACCUUCUCUGAGAAGGCCCUGGUCCUUCCUUUUAUAGUCGUAAGGAGAGGAUCCAGGUGUACAAUGGGGAUGUAGCAGAGUGCUACGUGUCUAGCGGAGGGAGAGCUAGCGCCCUAGGUACAUGCCAAUGUGGCAGCCGGAGAGAUCUGGGCACCCUGCUGGUGUGGUGUCGUGGCUGUCGGAGGUGCGGCGGAGCCUAAUGGAGGGACAGCUGUUGGAGCGGUCGAGUCCCUGCUGACGUUGUCCUGCUUCCGUAAGAGAGCUGGGGGCCGCCGUCGUCAUAGAGCUUGUGGAGCGCCAUCAUUGCCCCUCUGGCGGAGCUGGCCGGAUGAGACGCCGGUCUUGUUCUCCGUGACCCGAGUCGAUUCGGGGUGGGAUGAUGAUGGCGCCUCCUGUUGACGUGGCGGUCUGUGCCCUAAGCAGGGCGACGUGGGGGUUCCUCCGAAGCCGAGGUUGAGUCUGCCUUCUGUUGCCGUGGCCGAGCCCGAGCCGAGGGGUCGGGCGAGGCGGAAGUCGUUCGGCCGAGGCCAGGGCGGAGUCCGAGCCCUGGGGUCGGGCGAGGCGGAGUUUCGUCGUCUUCCGGGUUUUAGCCCGAGUCCGAGCCCUGGGGUCGGGCGGAGCGGAGUUCGUCGUCUUCCGGGUCUUAGCCCGAGUCCGAGCCCUGGGGUCGGGCGGAGCGGAGUUCGCCGUCUUCCGGGUCUUAGCCCGAGUCCGAGCCCUGGGGUCGGGCGGAGCGGAGUUCGCCGUCUUCCGGGUCUUAGCCCGAGUCCGAGCCCUGGGGUCGGGCGGAGCGGAGUUCGCCGUCUUCCGGGUCUUAGCCCGAGUCCGAGCCCUGGGGUCGGGCGGAGCGGAGUUCGCCGUGGCGCCUUUGGCAAGGCCUGAUUGCCUGUCAGACUUCACUCUGUCGAGUGGCACUGCAGUCGGAGUGGCGCAGGCGGCGCUGCCCUUCUGUCAGACUGGCCAGUGGAGUGGUGGAGUGACGGCGGUCACUUUGGCUCUGCCGGGGGCGCGUGUCAGGAUAGAGGUGUCAGGCCACCUUUGCGUUAAAUGCCCCUGCAAUUUGGUCAGUCGGUGUGGCGAUUUAGUCAAGGUUGCUUCUGAGCGAAGCCAAGUCCUCGGGCGAGCCGGUGAUGUGUCCGCCAUAAAAGGGGGGCCUCGGGCGAGACGGAAGUCUCUCGAGGUCGGCUGCCUUUGGCCGAGGCUAGGCUCGGGUGAAGCGUGAUCGAGUCACUCGUGUGGACUGAUCCCUGACUUAAUCGUACCCAUCAGGCCUUUGCAGCUUUAUGCUGAUGGGGGUUACCAGCUGAGAAUUAGGCGUCUUGAGGGUACCCCUAAUUAUGGUCCCCGACAAGAAUCAAAAGCAUCAUAACUUGUAUCAACAUUCCUAGAAUGUCUCCUAUCAUGAUACAUGAAGGCAUGGUUCCUUUGAACACUACUAGCCAUAGGGGCCUUCCCUUUCUCCUUGGCGGAGAUGGAAGCCUUAUGGCUUGUCAAGUUCUUGGCUUCCCUCUUGAAGCCAAGCCCAUCCUUAAUUGAGGGGUGUCUACCAACCGUGUAGGCAUCCCUUGCAAAUUUUAGUUUAUCAAAAUCAUUUUUGCUAGUCUUAAGUUGAGCAUUAAGACUAGCUACUUCAUCAUUUAGUUUAGAAAUGCAAACUAGGUGUUCACUACAAGCGUCAACAUUAAUAUCUUUACACCUAGUGCAAAUUACAACAUGUUCUACACAAGAUUUAUUAGCUAUUUCUAACUUAGCACUCAAAUCAUCAUUUAUGCUCUUUAAGCUAGAAAUAGAGUCAUGACAUGUAGAUAAUUCACAAGAAAGCAUUUCAUUCCUUUUAAUUUCUAAAGUAAGGGAUUUUUGUGCCUCUACAAACUUAUCAUGUUCUUCAUACAAAAGAUCCUCUUGCUUUUCUAAUAACCUAUUUUUAUCAUUCAAAGCAUCAAUUAAUUCAUUAAUCUUAUCUACCUUAGUUCUAUCUAGGCCCUUGAAUAAACAUGAAUAGUCUAUUUCAUCAUCGCUAGAUUCUUCAUCACUUGAGGAAGCGUAAGUACUAGUGUCACGAGUGCUUACCUUCUUUUCCCUUGCCAUGAGGCAGGUGUGAUGCUCAUUGGGGAAGAGGGCCGACUUGUUGAAGGCGGUGGCGGCGAGUCCUUCGUUGUCGGAGUCGGACGACGAACAAUCCGAGUCCCACUCCUUUCCAAGGUGUGCCUCGCCCUUAGCCUUCUUGUAAGCCUUCUUCUUUUCCCUCUUAUUCCCUUGUUCCUGGUCACUAUCAUUAUCGGGACAGUUAGCGAUAAAGUGACCAAUCUUACCACAUUUGAAGCAUGAGCGCUUCCCCUUCGUUUUAGUCUUGUUGGGAUGCUCCUUGCGACCCCUUAGCGCCGUCUUGAAGCGCUUGAUGAUGAGGGCCAUCUCUUCCUCAUUGAGCCCCGCCGCCUCGACUUGUGCCACCUUGCUAGGUAGCGCCUCCUUGCUCCUCGUUGCUUUGAGAGCUACGGUUUGAGGCUCAUGGAUUGAGCCAUUCAACGCAUCAUCAACGUAUCUAGCCUCCUUGAUCAUCAUUCGCCCGCUUACAAACUUUCCAAGUAUCUCCUCGGGCGUCAUCUUGGUGUACCUAGGAUUCUCACGAAUAUUGUUCACAAGAUGUGGAUCAAGGAUAGUAAAGGACCUUAGCAUUAGGCGGACGACGUCGUGGUUCGUCCAUCACGUGCUUCCAUAGCUUCUUAUUUUGUUGACGAGGGUCUUGAGCCGGUUGUAUGUUUGGAUUGGUUCCUCGCCCCUGAUCAUUGUGAAUCUCCCAAGUUCGCCCUCCAAUAACUCCAUCUUGGUGAGCAUGGUGACGUCAUUUCCCUCAUGAGAGAUCUUGAGGGUGUCCCAAAUCUUUUUGGCGUUAUCCAAGCCGCUCACCUUAUGGUAUUCAUCCCUACACAAAGAUGCUAGAAGAACAGUAGUAGCUUGUGCAUUUUUGUGAAUUUGCUCAUUGAUAAAUGUGGGACUAUCGGUACUAUCAAAUUGCAUUCCACUCUCUACUAUCUCCCAUAUGCUUGGAUGGAGAGAGAACAAGUGACUACACAUUUUGUGACUCCAAAAUCUGUAGUCCUCUCCAUCAAAGUGAGGAGGUUUACCGAGUGGAAUGGAGAGUAAAUGAGCAUUUGUAUUUUGUGGAAUACGAGAAUAAUCAAAAGAAAAGUUUGAAUUGACCGUUUUCUUUUUCUCGUAGUUGUCGUCGUCCUUUUGGGAAAAAGAGGACUCAUCGCUGUCAUCGUAGUAGACGAUCUCCUUAAUGCGCCUUGUUUUCUUCUUCUUCCCGUCUUUUCUUUUGUGGCUUGAGCCCGAGUCUGUAGGCUUGUCAUCUUUUGGAUUAUUGAUGAAAGACUCCUUUUCCUUAUCAUUGACCACCAUCCCCUUGCCCCUAGGAUCCAUCUCUUCGGGUGAUUAGUCCCUUUCUUGAAGAGAACAACUCUGAUACCAAUUGAGAGCACCUAGAGGGGGGGGUGAAUAGGUGAUCCUGUAAAACUUAAAACUUAACACCACAAACUUGAUUAAGAGUUAGAACGAUGGAAUCAAGUGAGUAGAGUGGAGAGCUCUUGCGAAGCACAAUAGACACAGUAAGAACAAUCACAAGAGGCACGAGGAUUUAUCCCGUGGUUCGACCAAGUACAAAACUUGCCUACUCCACGUUGUGGCGUCCCAACCGACGAGAGUUGCACUCAACUCCUCUCAAGUGAUCCAAUGAUCAACUUGAAUACCACGAUGUUCUUCUUUUCUUUACUCCUUUCCCGUUUGCGAGGAAUCUUCACAACUUGGAGUCUCUCGCCCUUACAAUAAGAAUCAAUAUGAAGCACAAGAGUAAGGGAGGGAAGCAACACACUCAAAUCCACAGCAAAUACACACACACAAGAACAAGACUUGAGCUCAAGACAAUAUCUCGAGGUUCUCACUAGAACGGAGUUCAAAUCACUAAGAAUGUCGAACAAGUGCGCAAGAAUGAAGUGUGAGUGAUCAAUAAUGCUCAAGGAAUGCUUGGUGUCUUCCUCCAUGCGCCUAGGGGUCCCUUUUAUAGCCCCAAGGCAGCUAGGAGCCGUUGAGAGCAUUUCAAGAAGGCAAUUCUUGCCUUCUGUCGCCUGGCGCACCGGACAGUCCGGUGCGGAUUUCUUUCCUUCUUUGGUGAAGCCGACCGUUGCAGAUUCCUAGCCGUUGGCGCACCGGACACUGUCCGGUGCCCCCUUCUGAUCGUUGGCUCUGCCACGCGUCGCGCGCGGAUUACGCGACCGACCGUUGGCCCGGCCGACUGUUGGCUCACCGGACAGUCCGGUGCACCACCGGACAGUCCGGUGAUUUAUAGUUGUACGCCGUUAAUUGCUUCCCGAGAGCAGCCAGUUGACAGCCACCGGCCUGGCGCACCGGACACUGUCCGGUGCACCUAGACCGAGCUGCCUUUGGCUGAACAAAGCCAUCUCUUUUCCAACUUGAUUUCUCCUAUUUCCAGCACUUAGACACAAUACAUUAGUUUCCAAAACAAUGUACUAAGUCUUAGAAACAUACCUUUUUACUUGAUUUGCAUUUUGUCCAUCACUUCGCAUAGAUUAACAUAGGUCCACUUGUGUUGGCACUCAAUCACCAAAAUACUUAGAAAUGCCCAAGGGCACAUUUCCCUUUCACUGAGGCCUGAGGUCGGGCGAGGUUGAGCUCCCUGUUGCGCCCGAGGCUGAAUUCGGGGGAGGUCGUGACAUACUGUCGUUAGUUUUACCCUGGUGGUUGGCACAGUAGUCGGAACAGGGUGAAUAGUGCUGUUUUCCUGUCAGAAUGAUAAGUAAAGGGGCGAAGUGACUGCGGUCACUUCGACCUUACCGACUGAGGCGCGCGUGUCAGGAUAAGGUGUCAGGCGAUCCGCAUUAAAUGCGCAUGCGAUACGGUCGGUUGGUAAGGCGAUUUGGCCGAGGUCGCUGCACGACAAAGUUUUGCUCGAGCUUUGCUUCGGGCGAGCCAAGGGUGCGCCCACUGCCUGAGGAGGCCCUCGGGCGAGGCGUGAAUCCAUCCGGGACUACUGUUCUUGCCCGAGGGCGGGCUCGGGCGAGACGAGAUCACGUCCUUGAGCCUUCAACUUUGAACCGCGCUUACCGGUCUUUACGGUCUGUUUUGAGGAUGUUUUCCAGCCAGGUUAAGGAGCAUUGGGGGUACCCCUAAUUACGGUACCCGACAAUAGCCCCCGAGUCUCGAAGGGAGUGUAGGUACUCGCUUGGAGGUUAUGCCAGAUUUUUUGCAAGGGGACCAGCCCUUCUUGGUCAUAUUUUGUUCCGAUGGGUGCGCGCGAGCGCACCCAUAGGGUGUAGCCCCCGAGGCCUCGGAGGAGUGGUUUGACUCCUCUGAGGUCUUAAUUCUUUUUGUGAUGCCUCGGUCGGCCUUUUUGUUCCCUCAUGGGACCUGGCCGCAGCCCGGGUGCAAGGUCAGGCCCCGAGUUUUUAAGCUGGUUUGUCGACGUGGUCGAUAAUUUGGCCGUAGCCUGGUGCGACAGCAGCCUCCGAGCCUCUGCACGGAGCGAGAGGACGAUCGAGGACUAUCUCGCCUUUUUAUUGUACGCCCCUUCGUUGCCUUUCCGCAAGGAGGAAGGGGGGGAAAGCGCCAUGUUACCCUCGGAGGGCACCGAACACGGUGUUUCCAUUGAGUUGCUAUCGGGUGAUCCGAGUGGAUGCCCGAGCCCCGUUCGAUAAGGGUCGGCUAGUGGCCCAGAGGCGCGCUCCAAAAGUACAUGCAGGUGAUUUGCUAGACCCGGACCCAUUUGAUAGGGUCUGAGGGCUUGGUGCCACCCUUCGGUGGGAUUCCAUUACAAAUCGUUCCCGCUGGUCUCGGAAAUGUCCUAAGGUACCUCAGGAGCAUAGCCCGAGCCUCGGCCAUGUAACAUACGUACCCAGGGUCAUCCCUGACUCUGCAUGCUCUGGGGCGACUGUCGAACCCUUCCAAGGGGUCAGCCUUCGAUCCCCUAAUCAGUAAAGGGCUCGGAGCCCGGGUGCUCUGGGGCGGUUGCCGAACCCCGCAGGGCGCAACCUUCGAACCCCUGAUCAGUAGGAGGGCUCGGGGCCCAUUUCCUUCGCUGAGAAGGAUCCUUUUGAAAUAUCCCUUUUCUCAAUCCCUGCGGCAAGAGAGAGAGAAAAGGAUAUAAAUUUAAACAAUGUUGCGCACCUUUUUUGAGGCGGUCAUCAUGACGAAGACGAAACGGCGCCCGCUUCGCCUGCCAGAGGUGUCGCGUGCCCUGCCAGGGAGUUAAUGCGACGAGACGGGUGAUUUGUGGGGCAUCUGUUGCGCAUGCGCGAGUCGUUCGAGGAACAGAAAAACCGUUUCACCUUCGAGUUUGAAUUUCGCGAUGGGUUCGGGCAAAGUUUUGGGUGGAUCUUGCCCGGGCCUUUAUAUGCCCGGAAGAGGGGCCGACGGUGGUUCUUUACCCUGCCAUUUGCGCUCGCCUUCUGCUUUGGUUUCCGCAACCUAAGAGAAUAGUCAGAGAAGAGAAAACCGCGCACCUCAUCCCCUCCGCCUCCACCGCUUCCGCUCGGCGAUGGCCGAUAAGGCGACCGUCAUUUCGCCGCGCGACCCGUGGCCUUUCUCCACCGUUACUGUGAAGGAGCUGGAGGCCCUUGUCACCGAUGGUUUGCUCUGUCCUCUCUCCGGUGGGCCGCAGCCUGAGUGGAUGGCCCUCGGGAGCGAGGCUGACCCGACUACGCCGCCGGGGUACGUGGUCAGUUUCAUCCCCUUCCAUGAGCGGGGGUUUGGGAUGCCAGCGAGCUGUUCCAUGCGGGCGCUUCUGCACUACUACGGGGUGGAGCUGUAUAACUUCAACCCCAACUCCAUAGCGCAAGCGGCCAUUUUCGCAGCGGUUUGCGAGGGGUUUCUGGGGAUUGACCCCCACUAGGAUCUGUGGACCCAUCUCUUCUCCGCGGAGUUCUUCGCCGCGUCGACGGACGUGAAGAAGGUCCGCAUGGCGGUGCGGGCCGGUGGCUGCACCCUCCAGCUGAGGCCGGGGCGCGCGCAACAGUACAUCCCUGCCUCUCUUGUAUCUUCGAACAAGGGUUGGCAGAACCGGUGGUUUUAUCUCCAGAACGACGAUGGGAUGCUUCCAUCGUUUUCUCAACGAGUUGUGACCGCCGCCGGUAAUAACUGGCGCUGGGGGGCCACACGCGAGAACCAGGAGAAGCUCCAGCCUAUUCUGCGUGCCUUGUAGAAGUUACAAGACGAGGGCCUUACCGCUGCGGGGGUCGUCGCCGCUAUCCAUCGCCGGAGGGUGCUCCCAUUGGCGGACCGGCGGUUGCGACUCUCGAAGAUGAAGCCGAGGGUUGAUUUGGAGGGUUCGCGGAUGUCCUCUACCUCCCUCUCCGCCGACGACCUCCUCAGAAGGGUAGCGGGUACGGUAGGGAGGCUGGAUGCUGGCGUUCUCAGCCAGCCCGCGAUGCGUCCCGACCGUGGGUAUGUGUCCCUGGUAAGUGUCUGGUCCUUCUCCUGUUUUGCGCCGAGUUUUUUACGUUUUUAGCUCUCACUGUUGGGAUUUUCGUUCGUCCUCAGGGGUUGAGGAGUUUUAGGCCCUCCCUGCCACCGGUCCCGGAGGACGCGGCAGACCGAACCGCGCGCAGGCUCGCCGCGCAGAAGGAAAAAGGAGAAGAAGGACGCGGAAAAGGCCCGGGCUCGCGAGCGGAUGCGAGCUCGGGAAGCCUUGGAGAAGCGUCGUCGGAGGCAAGCAAGGGAUGGGCUCCCGUUGGAGCCGUCGCCGGAGACGCCUGACGACGACGACGACGACGAUGAUGAUGAUGAUGAAGAUGACGACAUGGUGGCCCGACUUGGCCUCAGCCCGGACCCGAGGCUGGGCCAGGGGUCGCCAAGCCAGCCUCCAGGUGGGUUGGCACCACCAGUGUUUGGGGCCAGGACACCAAUUUCCUGGUCUGAGGAGCAGAGGCGGGCCGAGGGGGUACUUGACCCCUUGGCCGAGAUAAUUGGGGUGACUUCGGGGGUCAGGCCGAACCGCAUGCCCCCUAAGAGCAGGUGCCCGCGCCGGCUGCACAGGAGGUCGGUCCCUCGGCCAUCGUGACGACGCCCGGGCAGGUUGCCCCCUCGGCGCCUCGGGCAUCCGAGGUGGAAGCGGCGUCGAAGCCGGGUGUGGGGCAACCUUCGGCGGCGCCUGCGGAGACCGGGGCCCGAGGGGUCUCCCCGCAGGCACGAUUGGCCUUGCCCCGGAGCGGGUAAGUAUGUGAGGAUACCUCUGCUUUAGUUUUUUCGCUAUGUGUCUUGAACUUGCCUUCUCCCCCUUUCAGCAAGCGAAGGCAGGGCUCGGCUGGUCUGGCCCCCAUGAAGGCUCUUAAGACGAAGCCAACUUCUGCAGCCGGUGCUACGGCGCGCCACGCCGGUUGGCUAGCCUCAGCACAAGGCGCCCUCCGGCGGGGGGCCCAGGCGGCGCGGGUUGCCCUGGGGCAAGCCUCCCAGGUUGACCCCCAUGCCAGAGCGGCCAUCAUGCCGGGGGAGGCCGUUGACGCGGCCGCGGCUCCGAGCCUACCUGUCUUGUUGCCGGCGCCGGCAUCGAUUCCUGCCGGGGCCUUCGCUGAUUCUUCCGCGGAGCCGCCCGUUGCCGUCGAUGUCGGGAUGGUUGAGGCGCCCCCGCCCCUAGUCAUCCCCGACCUCCCCAUUCUCGAUCAUGAGGAGAGGGCGGCCAUCGUUGCCGAGGUCGGUGAGCGGAGGCCUGUCACCUUAGCCGAGGAGAGGCCCGGUACGUCGACUGCGGUGGUACCCGAUGCAUCGACUGCAGGGGGACCCGACGCCUCGGUGGAGGGGUGCGCAGAACCAUGGCCCGCCUUAGGGAGCAGCGGCCUCAUCCCCACACAGCUCAAUCCCAAUGAGUGGUGUGGGCAGCCGCUCCUGUUCUGGAGCCGCGACACUUUGGAGCCCCUCCUCUCCCUCAAUGAUGAGAGGGAGGAGCAGUCUCGGAAUAAUUUUCGUGAAUAUACCGAGGUGGCGAUGAGGUCGCUGCGGUCGACCAUGAAAAUCCUUUCUAGGGACGUCCCCAGGGUCUUCCAGGUAAGGAUUUAGACGUACACCUCGCGUGACCAGAGCAUUCUUUGUGAUAUCUGUUUUCCUCCCUCAGGAACUUGCGGACGUGAGCACCGCUAAGUCACUGUUCAUCUACCACGAGAGCGACGUCUGGGAUUCGCUGCGGUCCCAGUGGGCCGCGCUUACCGAGGCCAUUGAGCGCCUUGCCCAACGGAGCGCUGAGGUGGCGGACCUUCGACUGCUCUGUGAUGAGCUGAAGUCGGAGGCAGCGGCGGUGCGGGCAGAGGCGGUGUUGGCACGAACGGAGGCUUCAUCGGCCCGGGAGCUGGUGGCUUCCCAGGUCGAGGAGAUGCAGCAGCGGUAGCUAGAGCUUGGCCAGGUCACCAGCGAGCGGGACCAAUCCCGGAGCCAAGCUGUCGAGGCCGUGAGCCGGGCUGAGGCCCUUAGGGGCUUCAGAGCGGCUAGCCGAGGCGUCCGCUCGGGCCGGGACUCUUGCGGAGGGCCUGGCUGUGGCUGUCGGGUCUGCCCAGUCCGCCCAAGCCAUGACCUCAUAGCUUCACGCCCGGGCCGAAGGUCUGUUUUGUCCGCUUUGUGAUUUUGUAUUUUGUCCUCAUUCUUCUCCUCAUGUCUGAAGGACAUUGUCCGACUGUCUGCAGGGUUCGAGACGGCUCUUAACAAGUCCGUCAAGAACUGCAAGGCGCUUGCCCAGGCGGUUGAGCAGAAGGAGGCCGAGCGCAUGGCCAUGUCUGAGGCUAUCUCGGCCUUUUAUUGGGCCUUCGGCCUCGAUGACGUCUCCUCGGGUAGCUCCCCCCAGAGUCACCUGCGAGCCUUGGGCGGCCAUGUGCGCAGCAGACUCCGUGGGGCGCUGCACCACGGCGUUAGGCGGGCCUUCGCCGUCCUCACUUCCCACUACGACGUGGAUCUGGAGCGGGUCAGCGAGGGGUACUUCUUACCCAAUGAAGAGGAGGCCGCCUUAGCCGAGGUCCAGAGGCUUGACGUGGCAGUCGAGGGCCCAAGCGCGGCGCUGGCUUCCUCCUUUGAGGUGGAGAUCCUUCCGCCCGUGUCGCCGUCCGAGGCCGGGCCAGAUUCUGCUGAGGGUGGAAACGACGCCGAGGGUGUUGCUCCUCCCCCUGCCGAUGCCUGAGCCUGUAGGAACAAUUUAUUUUAAGUACGCGUAUGUUUCUUGCGGCCGCUGAGGCUUAAACAUUUUAGCGUCAGAGUAUAAAGCUGCGUUUUCUUUCCUCUUGUUUCGUGCGUUAGAACUUGUUCGUCGGUAGCAGAAUCACUUAUCCGAGCGUGAGUUACUUUCCGCGGAAGGUGAUGAGUGAGGUAUCCAUAUCCCGGAGGCGUAGGAGUCCCUCGGCUCGGUCGACCUUGCCAUUUAAGGUUCCUCUCGUCGUUUUUAGGAUUCCGUUAUCGAUAUAGUCGAAAAGCACGAAAGUCAUUUUGGCGGAAAACUUUUCCGAGGAAAAUUUUGACGCAGAGGGGUUCUAGCCCCCGAGGGAGGUUCAGUUUUUGCUGAGGCAAGGCCGAUCCUCCCUUGACGGUUAGACUUUAUUUAUACACAUAAAGAAAGCGAGAUACAUGAACGACUUGAAACAUUUUAAGGGUAGAAGCGACGUAGCUGUUCGAUGUUCCAAGCGUUGCUGUAGACUUCGCCUCGAUCGUUGGCCAGCUUGUAUGUCCUGGGCUUCAAAAUAUUGGCGAUGAUGAAUGGCCCUUCCCAGGGAGGAGUAAGCUUGUGGUGCCCUCGGGCGUCUUGUCGCAGCCGAAGUACCAAGUCUCCCACUUGGAAGCCUCGGGGUCGAACUCGUCGGGCGUGGUAGCGUCGCAGAGACUGCUGGUACCGUGCCGAGUGUAGUAAGGCUACGUCCUGAGCCUCUUCCAACUGGUCCAAUGAAUCUUCUCGGCUGGUUUGGUUGUUUUGGUCGUCGUAGGCCUUUGUCCUCGGGGAACCGUAUUCCAAGUCCGUGGGUAAGAUGGCCUCAGCCCCUUCGUCGCCUUUCCGCAAGGAGGGGAGGGAAAGCGCCAUGUUGCCCUCGGAGGGCGCCGAACAUGGUGUCUCCAGUGAGUUGCUAACGGGUGAUCCGAGUGGACGCCCGUGCCCCGUUCGAUAAGGGUCGGCUAGUGGCCCAGAUGCGCACUCCAAAAGUACCUGCAGGUGAUUUGCCGGACCCGGUCCCGUUUGAUAGGGUCCAAGGGCUCGAUGCCUCCCUCUGAUGGGAUUCCGUUACAGAAUCGCUUCUGCUGGUCUCGGAAAUGUCCUUGGGUACCUCGGGAGCGUAGUCCAAGCCUCGGCCAUGUAUCGGACGUACCCAGAGUCAUCCCUCGCUCUGCAUGUUCUGGGGCGGUUGUCGAACCCUUCGGGGGGCCAGCCUUCGAACCCCUGAUCAGUAGUGGGCGCGGAGCCCAAGUGCUCUGAGGCGGCUGUCGAACCCUUCCGAGGGGCCAGCCUUCGAACCUUUGAUCAGUAGUGGGCGCGGAGCCUGAGUGCUCUGAGGCGGCUGUCGAACCCUUCCGAGGGGCCAGCCUUCGAACCUCUGAUCAGUAGUGGGCGCGGAGCCCAAGUGCCCUGAGGCGGCUGUCGAACCCUUCCGAGGGCCAGCCUUCGAACCUCUGAUCAGUAGGAGGGCUCAGGGCCCACUUCCUUUGUGGAGAAGGAUCCCUUUCGGAGUAUCCCCUUUCCCGGACCCUGUAGCAAGAGAGAGAAAGGGGAAGAGGAAAAGGAUACGAAAUUAAACGAUGUGGCACACCUUUUUUGACGCGGUCAUCAUGGUGGAGGUGAAGCGUCGCCCGCUUCGCCUGCCAAAGGUGUCGCCUGCCCUACCGCGAAGUUAAUGCGACGGGACGGGUGGUUCGCGGGGCAGCCGUUGCGCGAGCCGUUCAAGGGACGGAACAUGGGCGCGUCGUCUUCACGCCGUGGGAGAGGGCUCCCCUGCUGCUUCAGGAGGGGACGUGAGCCCGCAGACGAUUUGACUGCUGCUUCCGCCCGCCUGCUGCCGCCAUUACUGCCGGCCCACUUUUGGCCAUAUCGACCGUCGCACCUUCUCCCGCGGCUGACUGACCCAUGACCGAUGCGCUUGGUUGGCACUGUUGGGCCAUGCGCAGGGUUGCCUCGAGUCGCGACACCGGUUCCGCAGUCGAAAAGGUGCAACAUUGGCGUAAGUGGCGGUGCAGCUUUUCGCACGUAGUAACCGACGCACCGGUUACAUGACGUGUGGGCCUGGGCCUUCAUGCUGGAUGCGUUGAAGUCGAAAGGGUGCGUCUCCAUGGUACAGUUGCAUGCCACCUGCAUGGCGGUCCGCCCUUUCACCCGCUGGUUUGGGCGAAGAUGGAGGAGUGCUUGUAGCCGCUGGGCGGUUACACGCUCCGCGCGCGGCGGUUUGGCUUCUUCUGUCCCGGGCCAGCUUGCAUGACGUGUGGGACCCAGCCCCCGUGUCGUAGGGGGAGGACCCUGGAGCGCGUUGGUGAAGACUUAGUCCGCGAUGCCUGAGGACGUGAGUGGGGAGAGUCGCCUUUUAAAAAGGGAUCGACCCCCUGGGUGGCAGCCACGCCUUCGCACUCCCCUCAUGCAUUGCACCCUUCCAACUUCCGAGCCCCCGGAUGGGGAGCGCCCGCGUUGCUUUUGUCUUGCUGCUGUUGGAGGAGCGCAACUUCGUGGAGGUUGGCACCUUUCAGCCAUUGCUCGGCUUCAAGGAUUUUUAUCAGGCAGCCCGGCUGCAUCCUCUCACCAAUGGUCACGCAGGAGGGUGACCACCGGUUCGAUGGUGGGGUGAAGCAAGCCGGGCUGCGGCCUCUGCCCCGCCCUCAGCCUCAAGGAUCUUCAUCAUCCUUGCUGGGGCGGAGGGCGAGCUGAGCCGGAGCUCUACCUCCCGUACAGGCCGGCGGGCCACCUCUUCCUUCCGCAUUCAGGGGAGAGGGCGCUCACCGGCCUAGCGGAGGGGGCGAACUUCGACAACGCGGGGCCGAUCGGCCCCAAGCGUCGUCAGCUCCAGCAUGCCUGGUUCGCUGGCUCAGCUGGCUCUAGCACAGCUUCUGGUGCCACCUCCAGCCGGAGAAGGCUUCUCCGCCGACGAGACCAUCAGCGCCACCCGCGGACCGACCUCCGGCUCUUUGGCUUUGAUAGCUUGUCCUCGCCCCUCGAGUGGGGACGCGGGCAAGGGCCUUGUCGUAGCAACGUCUGCCCUAAGGUCAUCGCUGCUGCUGUUUGGCCGCCCAGAGCGGAGGUCGUUGUCACUGCUGAUGGAGCGGGCGGCGGCGAGCCAACUGGAGUUUGUCGUCCCGCAGGCCCCCCGAUGUGGAGGUUGUUCAUACCCGCGGGUGUGGAACGGGAGUUCCGUUUGUAAUGGCACCUUGAGUGUCGGUGUCUGUUCAUUGUGGCUGCCAGGGCCUGAACAUCCAGGUAUUUGAGUGCAAUACCGUGUUUCUUCCUCAUUUCGAGCACCAGGACUCGCAUGUCAGCUAGCUGGACCGCUUAACCAAGUGUGAGUUGCCCUGUGCGGAAGGUGACGAGUGAGGUAUCUGUAUCCCGGAGGCGUAGGAGUCCCUCGGCUCAGUCGGCCUUGCCACCCAAGGCUUCUCUUGCUCAGUUAAAGAAACCCUCGGCCGCUCUGCGAUGAGCCGGAGCCGGAGGCAGCGGUGUCAGCGUGGACAGAGGCGGAGUCGGCUCGAGAAGAAACUUUAUCGGCCCAGGAGUAGGUGACUUCCCAGGCCGAGGAGGCGUAGCAGCGGCGGCUGGAACCUGGCCAGGUCGUCCACUGGCGGGACCAACACCGGAGUCGGGCUGUCGAGGCCAUGAGCCAGGCUGAUGUCCUCGGGGGACAGCUGGCUGCGGCUACGGAGCGGCCAACCGAGCCAUCUGCUCGGGCUGGGUUCCUGGAGGAGACCCUGGCGGCGAUGGCCCAGGCGCGUUGCUGACAUCUUCCUUCGAGGUGGAGAUCCUCCGCCUGUGUCGCCGUCCGAGGCCGGGCCAGAUUCCGCCGAAGGUGGAGACGACGCCGAGGGUGCUGCUGCUCCCUCUGUUGAUGUCUGAACCUGCAGGAACAGUUUGUCUGUAGUACGCGUAUGUUUUUUGCGGCCGCCGAGGCCCAAACAUAUCAUUGUCGUGUUAUAAAGCUGUGUUUCUUUUCCUCUUGUUUCGAGUAUCAGGACUUGUUUGUCGGUAGCAGAAUCGCUUAUCCGAGCGAGAGUUACUUAUCGUGGAAGGUGAUGAGUGAGGUAUCCGUAUCCCAGAGGCAUAGGAGUCCCUCGGCUCGGUCGGCCUUGCCGCUUACGUGUACUCUUACUCGUCCGCAGGAUUCUGUUAUCGAUAUAGUCGAGAAGGCACGGAAAAUCGUUUUGGCAGAAAAGUUUUCGAGCAUUAAGAAUUGUUCGGUCAGCGGAAUCGCUUAUCCGAGCGUGAGUUACUUAUCGCAGAAGGUGACGAGUGAGGUAUCUGUAUCCCGGAGGCGUAGGAGUCCCUCGGCUCGGUUGGCCUUGCCGCUUACGUGUACUCCGUCAUUUUCAGGAUCCCACUAUCGAAGUAGUCGAAAAGCGUGAAAGAUGUUCUGGCAGAAAGACUUUUUUCCGAGGAAAAUUUUGACACAGAGGGGGUUCCCCCCUUCUAGCCCCCGAGGGAGGGUCGGGCUUUGCCGAGGCAAGGCUGACCCUUCCUUGACGGUUAGACUCUAUUUGUGUAUGUAAAGAGAACGAGGUAUAUGAACGACUUGAAAACAUCUUAAGGGUAAAAGCGACGUAGCUGUCGGAUGUUCCAAGCGUUGUUGUAGACCUCGCCUUGACUGUUGGACAGCCUGUAUGUUCCGAGCUUCAAAAUCUUGGCAAUGAUGAACGGCCCUUCCCAGGGAGGAGUGAGCUUGUGGUGCCCUCGGGCGUCUUGUCGUAGCCGAAGUACCAAGUCCCCCACCCGGAGGUCUCGGGACCGAACCCCUCGGGCGUGGUAGUGUUGCCAAGACUGCUGAUACCGUGCCGAGUGUAGUAAGGCCAUGUCCCGAGCCUCUUCUAGUUGGUCCAGUGAGUCCUCUCAGCUGGUCUGGUUGCUUCGGUCGUCGUACGCCCUUGUCCUCGGGGAAUCGUAUUCUAAGUCUAUGGGCAAGAUAGCCUUGGCCCCAUAGACUAGAAAAAACGGCAUGAAGCCCGUGGCUCGGCUUGGCGUCGUCCUCAGACUCCAGACCACUGAAGGGAGUUCCUUCAUCCAUCGCUUUCUGAACUUGUUGAGGUCGUUGUAGAUCCUCGGCUUAAGUCCCUGCAGAAUCAUGCCGUUGGCACGCUCUACCUGCCCAUUCGUCAUAGGGUGAGCUACGGCGGCCCAGUCCACCCGGAUGUGGUGGUCCUCGCAGAAGUCCAGGAACUUCCUGCCAGUGAACUGGGUGCCGUUGUCGGUGAUGAUGGAGUUCAGGACCCCAAAGUGAUGGAUGAUGUUGGUGAAGAACGCCACCGCCUGUUCGGACCUGAUGCUGUUUAGGGGUCGGACCUCGAUCCACUAGGAGAAUUUGUCGAUAGCGACCAGCAGGUGCGUGAAGCCCCCGGAUGCCUUCUGCAAGGGACCGACAAGGUCCAGACCCCACACAGCAAACGACCAGGUGAUGGGUAUUGUUUACAGGGCCUAAGCGGGCAGGUGUGUCUGCCUUGCGUAGAAUUGACACCCUUGGCAGGUGCGUACAAUCCUAGUGGCGUCGGCCACCGCGGUUGGCCAGUAGAAACCUUGUCGGAAGGCGUUUCCAACGAGGGCUCGAGGUGCUGCGUGAUGACCGCAAGCCCCCAAGUGUAUUUCUUGCAAUAGCUUCUGACCUUCGGCGAUGGAUAUGGAUCGUUGGAGGAUGCCUGAGGGGCUGCGGUGGUAGAGCUCCUUUUCGUCACCCAGCAAGAUGAACGACUUGGCGCGCCGCGCCAGUCGCCGAGCUUCGGCUCUGUCGAGGGGUAGCUCUCCUCGGUGGAGAUAUUGUAGGUACGGGGUCUGCCAGUUUCGAUUAGGUGUGACCCCAUUCCGCUCUUCCUCGACGCGCAGUGCCUCACCCUCGGCGGCCGAGGGUGCCUCGGGCUGGGCCGAGGCCUCCCCGGGCUCGGGCGUGUCGUCGGUCUUGAAGGAGGGUUGAUGUAGGUCUCGGGAGAAGACGUCCGGGGGAACCGUUGUCCGUCCCGAGGCUAUCUUAGCCAGCUCAUCCGCAGUCUCGUUGUACCGUCGAGCGAUGUGGUUGAGCUCGAGCCCGUAGAACUUGUCUUCCAGGCGCCGAACCUCGUCGCAGUAGGCCUCCAUCUUCGGGUCGCAGCAGUGGGAGUUCUUCAUGACUUGGUCGAUGACAAGCUGCGAGUCGCCACGAGCGUCGAGGCGCCGAACCCCUAGCUCGAUGGUGAUGCGCAACCCGUUAACCAGAGCCUCGUACUCGGCCACGUUGUUUGACACCGGGAAAUGGAGGCGCAACACGUAGCGGAGGUGCUUCCCGAGGGGUGAGAUGAAGAGCAGGCCCGCACCCGCUCCUGUUUUCAUUAGCGACCCGUCGAAAUACAUUGUCUAGAGUUCCGGUUGGAUCGGAGCUGCUGGAAGCUAGGUGUCGACCCAUUCAGCCACAAAGUUCGCCAAGACUUGGGACUUGAUGGCCUUCCAAGGAGCGAACGAGAUUGUCUCGCCCAUGAUAUCCACCGCCCAUUUUGCAAUCCUACCCGAGACCUCUCGGCACUAAAUGAUCUUCCCCAGGGGGAAGGAUGACACCACAGUCACCGGAUGAGACUCGAAGUAGUGUCGUAACUUUCGUUGCGUCAGAAUUACCGCGUACAGUAGCUUCUGAAUUUGCGGGUAGCGGAUUUUGGUCUCGGACAGUACUUCACUGAUGAAGUAGACCGGCCUCUGGACGAGCAAUGCAUGCCCUUCUUCUUCGUGCCGCGCUGAGCAGACGCCUUGGGGACAUCUUCCUGCUGGCGUCCCUGAGGCUGCUUGUCCUUCCGGAAGAUGGCCUUGACCGCCUCCUGACCAGAGGCGAACUUGGUGGCGAUGUCCAUCAGCUCGCUUGCCCUGGUGGGAGUCUUGCGACCCAGCUUGCUCACCAGGUCGCGGCAAGUGGUGCCGGCGAGGAACGCGCCGAUGACAUCUGAGUCGGUGAUGUUGGGCAGCUCGGUGCGCUGCUUCCAAAAUCGCUGGAUGUAGUCUUGCAGGGAUUCUCCUGGCUGCUGGCGGCAGCUUCGGAGAUCCCAGGAGUUCCCAGGGCGCACGUAUGUGCCCUGGAAGUUUUCGGUGAAGGCUUUGACCAGGUCGUCCCAAAUGGAGAUCUGCGCAGGAGGCAGAUGCUCCAGCCAGGCUCGGGCGGCGUUGGAAAGGAACAGGGGGAGGUUGUGGAUGAUGAGGUUGUCAUCAUCCGUUCCACCCAGCUGGCAGGCCAGCCGGUAGUCUGCGAGCCACAGUUCCGGCCUUGUUUCCCCCGAGUACUUGGUGAUGGUAGUCGGGGCUCGGAACCGGGUCGGGAACGGCGCCCGUCGUAUGGCCCGACUGAAAGCUUGCGGACUGGAUGGUUCGGGCGAGGGGCUCCGAUCCUCCCCGCUGUCGUAGCGUCCCCCACGCCUGGGGUGGUAGCCUCGGCGCACCUUCUCGUCGAGGUGGGCUCGACGGUCGCGGCGGUGGUGCUCGUUGCCAAGGCGACCCGGGGCUGCAGGCGUUGCGUCCCGCGUGCGCCCGGUGUGGACCGAGGCUUCCCGCAUGAAUCGGGAAGUCGCGGCGCGAUGCUCCAGGGGGUACCCUUGCCUUCGGGAGGCAGAGCUUUCGGCCCGUUGGACCGCGUCAUCCUCCAGGAUAUUCUUGAGUUCUCCCUGAAUACGCCGCCCCUCGGUGGUGGAUGGCUCCGGCAUCGCUCGGAGUAGUAUUGCUGCUGCAGCCAGGUUCUGGCCGACCUCACUGGAAGCCGAGGGCAGCCUUGCCCUGACAUCGUCAGCGACGCGGUGCUGGACGUCCUGGGCCAGAUGACGCGCUUCUCCAGCUAGUGCUCGGCCUGCCCACUCCUGUCCGAUGUUCUGCCGGAGCUGCACAAGUUGUCCUGCUUCCUCGUCGAGCUUGGCCUGCAUCUCACGGAUUUGCUCGAGCUGUGUGUCCUGACCCCCCGCAGGGACUGGGACCACAGCUAGCUCCCGAAGGAUGUCAACGCGAGGCGCAGGCCUAGGGGGAUCAUCGUCCUUCGGCAUACCAAGGUGGUUGCCUUCGUCGAGACCCCCUAGAUCGACGUGGAAACAUUCGGAGUAAUCGGAGAGGUAGUAGUCACAUGCGGCCAUGAAGUCUCGCAUGGCACUGGGGUUACCGAGCCCGAAGAAAUCCCAACCAGAGUCGGGCUCGUCAUCUUCCUCGGAACCCGGGGUCCCGUAGUUCGAGACGGCCGUCAGUCAGUCCCAGGUUGACCACAUAUGGUACCCCGGAAGGUUAGGAUAUGCCUUUAUGAAAGCGUCCACCGAAGUGGGGUCGCUUGGUUUGUCGAAGCUGAAUCUAAAAGGCACAGGGUGGAAAACGGACGGUACCUCUUGAUCGACGGAUGGUGACGAAGUCGCGUCGAGGACGGACUGCACCGUUAUCUCAGGUACGAGGCUAACGCCCAGCAAGUCGUUCGCGAGCGUGCCGGCGUCAUCCGUCCGCUUGGGGUUGGCGUGUUGCGGGGAAACGAUGCUCGUCUUCGUCUUAGACGCGAGGUCAACGCUCGACGUGUCCCCCGCUGGGGCGCCGGCGUCGUCGACUCGCUCGACAGCCAACGAGGUGCCGCCUCCUGCUUGGCCAUGGUCACCCCGCCUCCUCCUCCUGCGGCGGGGAAGGUGACGGGACAGGCCCGGAUGCUGCUCUUCCGCCAUGGGGGGAAGACGUCGUCGAUUCCGCCGCCGCCGGGCGGGCUGAUGGUCGUCGUUGUCGUUGUCGCGCGACGGAGGAAGGAGUACCAUGUCGUAGCUGCCAUCGAGGGACAUGAACUCAAGACUCCCGAAACGGAGCAGCGUCCCGGGCUGGAGAGGUUGCUGGAGACUACCCAUCUGGAGCUUGACGGGAAGUUGUUCGUCAACACGCAGCAGGCCCCUACCUGGCGCGCCAACUGUCGGCGUUUCGACCCCGGGGGGGUCCCUGGACCGACGAGUAAAUUAUCGCUGCGUGCCCCAGCCCAGAUGGGUCGGCGCGAGACAGAACACAAGGAGGGGAGAACCGCGGCUUCGUGUUGUCCUGCGCCCAGGGUGGAUGCACUUGCAGUAGGGGGUUACAAGUGUUCGCGAGGGAGAGAGAGAGAGCCUGCUCGUCAGCCCGUCCUCCCGCGCGGCCACCUUUUUCGUAUGAGGGCCCUGGACCUUCCUUUUAUAGAUGUAAGGAGAGGGUCCAGGUGUACAAUGGGGGGUGUAGCAAUAUGCUAACGUGUCCGGCAGAGAGGAGCCAGAGCCCUAUGUACAUGCCGACGUGGCCCUGCAUGUGAUGUAGUGGCCGUCGGAGGAGCGCUUGAGCCCUAUAGAAGCACAGCUGUCGGGGCUGUCGGGACCUUGCUGACGUCUCCUUGCUUUCGUAGUAGGCUGAGAACCGCUGUCGUCAUGGGAGCACGCGGGGUGCCAUCAUUACUUGUUUACCGGGGCGAGCCAGAUGGGACGCCGGUCUUGUUCCCCGUAGUCUGAGAUAGCUAGGGGUAGGGUAAUGAUGUACCCCCCUGCAACGUGGUCGGUCCGAGCCCAAGGUCGGGCGAGGCGGUGACUCCUCCGAGGUCGAGGUUGAGGCCGAGCCCUAAGGUCGGGCGAGGCGGAGACCGUCUUCCGUGGUCGAGGCGGGGGCCGAGCCCCGGGAUCGGGCGAGGCGGAGGCCGUCUUCCGAGGUCGAGGCGGAGGCCGAGCCCCGGGGUCGGGCGAGGCUGAGCUUCUUAUGGCGCCUGAGGCUGGACUCGGCUGCUGUCAGCCUCAACCUGGCAGGUGGCACAGCAGUCGGAGCAGGGCAGGCGGCGCUGUUUUCCUGUCAGGCCAGUCAGUGGAGGGGCGAAGUGACUGCGGUCACUUCGGCCCUGCCGGCUGAGGAGCGCGCGUCAGGAUAAGGUGUCAGGCGAUCCUUGCAUUGAAUGCUCCUAUGAUACGGUCGGUUGGCGAGGCAAUCUGGCCAAGGUUGCUUCACUGCGAAGCCUGCCCGAGCUGGGCCUCGGGCGAGUCGAAGGUGCGCCCAUUGCUUGAGGAGGCCCUCGGGCGAGGCGUGAAUCUGCCUGGGUCUACUGUUCCUGCUCGAGGCUGGGCUCGGGCGAGGCGAGAUCGUGUCCCUUGAGUGUACGGAGCCUUGACCUGAAUUGCGCCCAUCAAGCUUUUGUAGCUUGUGCUGAUGGUGAUUACCAGCCGAGUUUAGGAGUCUUGGGGGUACCCCUAAUUAUGGUCCCCGACACCCCCCUUCUUGUUGUUGCCUUGGUCCCUGCCACCUUCUGUCGGGGGCCCAGCCUUGUUGAAGUAACGCCGGAGCAUGUCGCACUCUUCAAGGGUGUGCUUGACGGGACCCCUGUGGUAGGGGCACGACUCCUUGAGCAUCUUGUCGAACGUGUUGGCCCCCCCGGGAGGCUUCCGAGGAUUCCUGUGCUCGGCAGUAGCGAUGAGAUCCGCGUCAACAACGUCACGUUUUGCUUGCGCCCUCUUCCUGGUCUUCUUCUUCGUGCCUUGCAGGACGGACGCCUCGGGGACGUCCUCCUUCUGUCUUCCCUGAGGCUGCUUGUCCUUCCAGAAGAUGGCUUCAACCGCCUCCUGACCAGAGGCGAACUUGGUGGCUAUGUCCAUCAAUUCGCUCGCCUUGGUGGGAGUCUUCCGUCCUAGUUUACUCACCAGGUCCCGGCAAGUGGUGCCGGCGAGGAAUGCCCCGAUGACGUCCGAGUCGGUGAUGUUGGGCAACUCGGUGCACUGCUUGGAAAACCACCGGAUGUACUCUCGCAGGGAUUCCCCUAGCUACUGGCGGCAGCUCCAGAGAUCCCACGAGUUCCCAGGGCGCACGUACGUACCUUGGAAAUUUCCAGCGAAAGCCUUGACCAGGUCGUCCCAGUCGGAGAUCUGCGCAGGAGGCAGAUGCUCCAGCUAGGCCCGGGCAGCGUCAGAGAGGAAAAGGGGGAGGUUGCGGAUGAUGAGGUUGUCGUCGUCCGUCCCUCCCAACUGGCAUGCCAGCCGGUAAUCCGCAAGCCACAACUCCGGCCUUGUCUCCCCUGAGUACUUGGUGAUGGUAAUCGUCGGGGCUCGGAACCAGGCCGGGAACGGCGCCCGUCGUAUGGCCCGGCUGAAGACUCGCGGACCUAGUGGUUCGAGCGAGGGGCUCUGAUCCUCCUCACUGUCGUAGCGUCCUUCGUGCAUGGGGUGGUAGCCUCGGCGCACCCUUUCCUCGAGGCGGGCUCGACGGUCGCGGCGGUGUUGCUCGCUGCCGAGGCGGUCCGGGCUGCAAGCGUCCCGUCCCCUGUGCGCUCGGUGUGGACCGAGGCCUCCCGCAUGCGUCAGGAGGACGUUGUGCGAUGCUCCGAGGGGCGCCCUCGCCUUCGGGAGGCAGAGCUUUCGGCUCGUUGGACUGCGGCGUCUUCCAGGAGAUCCUUGAGUUCGCCCUAGAUACGUCGCUCAUCAGUGGUGGAUGGCUCCGGCAUUGUUCGAAGUAGCAUCGCCGCUGCAGCUAGGUUCUGGCCGGCCCCGCUGAAGGCCGGGGGCAGCCCUGCCCUGGCAUCGUCAAUGAUACGACGCUGGACGUCCCGGGCCCGAUGACGCGCUCCUCCGGCGAGUGCCCGACCUGCCCACUCCUGCUCGAUGUUUUGUCGGAGCUGCACAAGUCGUCCUGUUUCUUCGUCGAGCUUGGCCUGCAUCUCGCGGAGUUGCUCGAGCUGUGUGCCCUGACCCCCCGCAGGGACUCGGACCAGAGCUAGCUCCCGCGGGAUCUCAACGUGAGACGCAGGCGCAGGGGCGCCGUCGUUUUCUGGCAUGCCGAGGUGGUUGUCUUCGUCGUGAUCCCCAUGAUCGAUGUGAAGACACUCGCGAGUUGGGUCACAACCCUCGUCGCUGAGGUUGUGGUCAUCGUUAGAGUAGCCGGAGAGGCAGUAGUCACAUGCGGACAUGAAGUCUCGCAUGGCACUGUGAUCACUGAGUCCGGAGAAAUCCCAACUGAAGUCGGGGUCGUCUUCUUCCUCAGAACCCGCGGGUCCGGAGGUCGAGACGGUCGUCAGUCGGUCCCAAGUUGACCACAUAUGGUACCCUGGAAGGUCAGGAUAUGCCCUCGCGAAAGCGCUCACCGAACGGGGUCGCUUGGUGGAUCGAAGCUGAAUCUAGUGUUAAAUGUUUUUUAGACUGUCUUUUUUUUUAGACUGUCUCUAGUGUUAAAUGUAACCUAUGAUUGGAUCACGAUCUAAUGUAUCAGAUAGUUGCUUGCACGCUUGCACAAAAGGACUGUUUACAUAGAGUCGUUGCCUUUAUUUAUAUAGCAUCUAAAUAAUCGAACAGACCCAAUAAUUAUCUUCUUUUUCCCCUAAAUAAAGUAUGGAUACAGAACUUCACACGCACACAGUAUUUCUACAUAAAAAGGGCAGAAGAACGGACGUCUUAUACUACACGUGCCGCCUUGAGAGCAAAGAAAUUAUCGUAUGAGUGGCCACCUGUUACAGCUGAAGAAUAAGCUUAAGCAGUACGUAUAUGUGUGAUCAAGUUUGUAAUAGCAGUACGUAUUCAGUAGAGUAUUCGUACAUUCUGUUUGAGUAUUCGUAGAGGUCGAAGUAACCGACCUAGUGGGCCUAUAAAAUGUAUCCAGAGAUUGAACAGCCAGGAGAAAAGAAGAAGAAAGUAGACACCGCAACUUAUCUGUGUCGAGUGGAGAUUUCUUCACGCUCGUUUCAGGCGCUCACGUCCGGACUCUCGUCGGCGGCCACGGGUACAACUCCAUAGGUGACCUAGGGUCAUCACACCACCCUAGCACAGUUCGAUUCCAAAUUUCCAAUGUGUUAGGGGAAUGCCACUAAAAGCAACUAACCCCAGUAAAUUUCUCUUUAUAUGCACCACUUCAGGUUCAACUCUGAUAUUCUGCAAGCAACCAUCAGGUUUAAUUAACACGUCCGCCCUAUUCCUAUUUCAUUUGCAUCUCAUUGAUUCAUAUGUACAACCGUUUAUUUCCUCGGUACAUUUCCAUAUGUACUCUGUGAAAAACUUAUACAUUCAUUUCCUAUUCAUGUUCCGUUGGUACAUAAGUAGAUAGUACAUGCAGUUUCCCAAUAAUUUAGACGCUACUACAGGGUGGAAGUAAAUGGAUUGAGAUUUAUAUGUUUAUUUACAGUAAUCUAUACCCACACCUUCUGAUUCCUUAUUUUCUAGCCACCCAUUUUUUUUGAAACAUAUGGUAUCCCACACCUCAAGUGGUAUUGUGUCGAGGAGGAGUACCAUGUUAUGGUGAUCGAUCGUCUCGGCCCAACCUUAGUACAAUUGUUUGCUUUGUGCAACAGGAAAUUUUCUAUGCUGAUCAACUGUUCAGUUCAUUCAUUCCAUAUUCCAUAUAGUCAACUUUCUGGGAUAUUAGCUCCUGGCUAGGAAUUACAUGUUCAGAAGUUCAUUGACGGUACAAAUGAGUUUCGUGAACACCAUUUGUUGUUGUAUCUCGGUCAAGCUUUGCAAGAUUGUAAUUAUUUUAAGUUUGUUCCUUUUUCUCUCAGUGCGAGGGAGUUUAUAAUUUAAAUGAUUUGAGCUAGAGCUACUCUCAAACGCAGCUGUCCAGAAUCUAUGAUGUUGAUAUCGAAGUUGCAUUGAGGUAAGCCAUCAAAGAAUUUCUUCUGCAUCAUGUUUCAGUUCCAUGUGUUUAUAGGCAAUGUUAUGUGUCAAUUUCUAUUUACAUAUUUCAUCCACUAAAUAUAUGCGAUGAUAAGAACUAGCUCCUCAAAACUGCUUAAGUCGAAGGGUUCAGCCCAAAACUCAAAGAUCUGUGAAAACAAAACAUCCACAACUGCAAUUUGAAUCUAAAGUUUAGACGCUACUACAGAAUGGAAGUAAAAUUGAGAUUUAUAUGUUUAUUUACAGUAAUCCAUACCCGCACCUUGUGGCUACUUAUUUUUAAGGCACUCAUUUUUUUAAGUAUACAUGAUAUCCCACACCUCAAGACUCAAGUCAAGUGGUAUGGUGUCGAGGAGUACCAUGUAAUGGUAAUCGAUCUUCUUGGCCCAAUCAAAGAAAAAUUAUUUGCUUCCUGCAACAGGAAAUUUCUAUGAAAAUAGUACUUAUGCUUGCUGACCAACUGUCGAGUUCAUCCAUUCCAUAUCCCAUAGUCAACUUUCUGAAUUUUGAUAUCAGCUUCUGGUUAGAAAGGUAAUCAGAUUUGAUUAACCCCUGAGUUUCAUUUGCUUUUGUUGUUUUCAGUAUAAACAGAACAUAGCAGUUACUUCUCUAAUAUUAACAAUGUCUGGUAAUAAUCCCCGAGAUUCUCAUUCGUCAAUAAGCAAUUGUAAAAACAUAUAUCCUUUUUAUUUUGCAAGUCUAUAUCAUUGAUUAUGGACUUGCUAAGAAAUACAAGGCCCUUCAGACUCAUAAACACAUCCCAUACAGAUGAAUCAUAUUAAUGAAUUUUCACUUAGAGCUUAGGCUGGACUAAUGUCUGGUAAUUAACCCUAAGAUUCUUAUUCAUCAAUAAACAAUAGUAAAAACAUAUAUCCUUUUUAUUCUACAUGUCUUUAUUAUUGAUUAUGGACUUGCUAAGAAAUACAACGACCUUCAGACUCAUAAACACGCCCUAUACAGGUGAAGCAUAUUAAUGAAGUUUUCACUUAGAACUGAGCUUGGGCUUCGUUGUGCCAAACAAUUAUUCUAUUAAAUUGCAAGUUCGUAAGCAGAAUCUGGUACGUGAGAAUUCACACAACCUCUAUAUAUACUGCACCUGUAUCACGAUUUCUUACAUUAUCUCUAGAGACACUGGCUAAUGAUACAUUAUUGGGUAAUCCAAGAGGUUAUGUGGAAUCAAUAUAGUAUCAGAUCAUGGUACAUAGAGGCAACCUGAAUGGAUUGUUUGACCGUGUGUCAUUUACAUGUAAAUUUCAGAAAUAAAAUGAAUGCCCUUUGAUGCCGCCACCGAUGCCCGUGCCUACGAGAAGGUCAUUGCCGAGUGCGAGCACUACCUCAUCAUCGAGGGCCCCUCCGUGAUGAUAAGCUUCGUCACAGCGCGCGCGAAGGCGUGUGCAAGUUACUAGUAUAAUAGUAAGCUUUGGUCGAUGGAGGCAUACAACUUUAGGUUCUAGGUGGUACCUUGAUGUUAUCAGGAAAAGUUUUUUUUAGAAAAUCAAGUCUUAGCAGACAGGCUUCUUGAUGCCUCCCCCACCAAGUCACACAGACACCAAGUAGCAGUAGACAUGAAUCCAACUGACGAGGGUCGCUGUACAGGUAUAUUAGUUAAGGAACACCAGGGUUUUCAUAACUUGGGCAUUUUUUUGUUUGGCUGCUGAAAGCUGAUCAGAGGACCAUUAGUUCAAAGAAAUCAACACGGAUUAAGAUUAAUCGCACAGAACAUGCAUGAGAUCAGACCUUGCCCCUUCGACAGAGACUGCCCAUGGCACGUCUCGCGCUUGCUCUGUUUCAGCUUGUCCGCCGAGCGUUUCCCCUAGAAGGAACACCAAAAAAAAUUCAGAUACCUCUAUUGCAUUUUCAAUAUCAGGAAGGCUACGUUUUGCUGGUUAUUCCAACGGUGGCUCAGUGGCUGUAAUGUGUGGGACACACUUCUUGUGGAGAUUUGCAUUUUUUUACCAUAGGAAUAUAUAAAUCUUAUUGUAUAUUAGUAUAUUACAAAGAAAAACUAAUGCCCAUAAUCGACCAAAUUAUUAUUGCACUUUACUGUUUCGUUCAGCACUGUCCAUAUUCUGCUUCUGUUGAUAAAAUUAUAACCUAAUUGAUUACAUUUUACUUUUGCGAGCCACUUAAAUUCAUAGUUAGGCAAUGUUUGGCGAGCAGUUAACAGUAGUGAUAAAAUCGUUAGAGCAACUCCAAAAGCUUAUAUAAAAAUCCUAGCUAAAUCUCAAGUUUACAGAGCACACUUCGCUAAAGGAAGCUAUCUACAAAGCAUGGGUUCCAACAAACUAUCUAAAAGAAACGCUAACUUGGCUUUUUUGCAUGUUUGAAUUUUUCCAACCUGCAGACCGCUCUCAACGCUCUGAACGCUCUAAACAAUUGAGCCUUGAUCCGACACCACAAUCUUGCAUCUCCCGUACUCGAUGCCCUGCCUCUAGAUCUUGCAUUCCUAGACGCAUCUGGGAACUGAGUGUAGUCUCUGCGUCACCGGUUUCCACGGGCGCAGUUGAACAAGCCCGCGGCGGCCUGAACAUGGUGAAGACGGCCUCGACGACAGCGACUGCAAGGCAGCGGACUCGCAAGCGGAACAACGCACGGGAGGGCAGGCGGGCACGGAAUCGCGCGGGAGCGGAAGGCUGCGCGACGGCGGGAGGACGCGUGGAGGGAUUGCGAGCCGCACAGCCUCAGCAAACAUGCCGAGCCGAGGGGCGCGUAUGGCGAGCUAGAUGAAGAGGCGAGGAGAAGGCUAGUCCGUUGGAACAGGAUAUCACCACGAUUAUCUUUUUUUUACCGAGCUCAACAUUUUAGAUAAGCUGUUGGAGAUGCUCUUAUGUAGAUCCAUUACCACUCAGCAGCAAUACAAGCAAGCAAAUAUGAUCGAAUUUGUUAAGUAAAAUUUAGCCUCAGGGGAAAGCAAUGGAAUGUGACAGAAACUAAUUGUUGAGUACUCGGGAAACGGGUACCCGAAAUAGGUCCAUGGCCUCUUUAAAAACAGGCCACCUGCCAACCAAGUCUCUGCCGAGCGACACUCCAAUGACCAACUCUCGAUGUGGACCAACUCCGUCGACCAACUCUGUCGGGCGGACCGGAUGAUCAACUCUCCGAUGAUGACCAACUCUUCGAUGAUGACUAACUCUCCGAUGAUGACCAACUCUCCGAUGACCAACUCCGAUGACCAACUCCGACGACCAACUCUCCGACAAUCAGCUCUGGCCGACCAAUUCUCUAUCGAACACCCAGCAAGGCAGAGAUCUAAGUCUAGCGCUACUGAUCCAUGUCAGUUACGAUGGGAUGCGUUACCAUCAAGCCAUGUCCAAAUAUGCGCACAGUACACUGAAUGGGCACCGGGGUCUCUAUAGUGACCCGUACAUCGAAAGGACGGGACAACGUGUCAUACCGAGCGUGGGCCUGCGCACGUUAGUAGGUAUCGAAGGGCCCAUGACGACAGGAGAAGCCACGCCACGUAGGACGCACUUUGAGACUGAUCCGUGGAACCCAUUAUGAAGAUGUCAGCGAUGUACUUGCUACAUGAGCCAGAGCAGCGGGAAAGGACGACGCCAUGCCGGGAAUAUGGCUACGCACGACCCUAUGAAGGACCCACCAUGUCAACCCGAGGAGCAGAUCUCUCUCUCUCUCCAGUAGAAUACAAGUCCAACUGUAAGGUCCUACCCUUGAUAUAUAAAAGGGAAGGCACCCCUCCUUCUCAUGGACACAAACACACCUAUUGUAGCACGCCUCAAAGCAAUACUACGAUCAACACUACAUUGGACUAGGGCGAAAGCCUGAACCAGUAUAAUCCCUUGUCUUAGAUCCAUCUUCGAGCCCCCGUGGUUCACCAUUCGGAGUGAGUCCGCACUAGCAUCCCCCACCGAACAUGAAAGUUGCCUAGAGGGGGGUGAAUAGGCAAGUUAAAAAAAUUUCAACAAAAACUAUAAGCAAACUAGGUAAAACCGUCCGGUGUCAAAACCGGUGCAACUGGUUUGAACGAGCUCAACUAAAGAAUGAGAUAUAAAACUGAAUUGAUCUCGAAAUUCACACAGUUAACUUUGGAAAUGAGAUGUUCUAAAUGAUCCACAGGGUUCAAAGUAGUAGAUCUGAGAAGGGCACUUCUCAAAAUCCACACACCAAAAAGAUAUAAACAAAUCUUUCAUGGAAUGGUGAGAGAACGAAGAAAACGUAUAAGCACAAUGAACAAGAACACAAGAGACACAAGAUUUAUCCCGAGGUUCGGUCAUACCACAAAAGGUGCUCUACUUCCUCGUUGAGGCGCCCACAAAGAGUCGGGUCUCUUUCAACCCUAAUCCUCCCUUUGACGACCACAAAGGUCAAGCCCACACACUAAUCUUUUCUCAAACGAGCGGGUUAUACAAACUUUCUUGUGGUCUUCCACAAGAUUUGGAGACUCACAAGAGACACCUAGUCGUCUAGGAGCUAGAAGCUCCAAGAGUAAUGAAUCCACAAAGAACUCGAUGUAGUACCAAAGCUCGAAUCAAGAAGAAGAGCAAGAGAGAUUUAGAGAUGAAGCACAAAACCGCAACUCUCAAGCUCACUCAAAGAUUUCUCUCCAAAGAUUUGAAAUGGGAGAGGCAAGAGAUGUGUGUGAGAGAGAGGGAGGUGUUUCUUGGGUUAGAAAUGGAGUUCAAAUCGUGCUCACUACUCUGGGGAGAGAGGUAGGAGAGAGUAUAUAUAGGUGGAGCUCAAAACUAGCCGUUGGGUAGAUUUUUCUGCCUGAGACCGGUUGAACCGCCCCCUAGGGCGGUUGAACCGCCCCUGGUAGGCCUGGCAGACUGACGCGCAGACUGACCUGCAGACUGGUCAAGUUGACCAAGACCGGUUGAACCGCCCCUAAGACCGGUUCAACCGCCUGGGGCAGGCUGACAGACAGUCUGCCAGACAUACUGGCAAACUGCAGGUUAGACUGCAAAAACAGGUCCUGACACCGGUUGAACCGCCCCUAGGGCCGGUUCAACCGCCUGGGGGUCACACUGGCAGUCAGUCUGCCAGUCAGGAGGUCAGACCGGUCAGGUUACCCUGACACCGGUUGAACCUCCCCUAGGACCGGUUCAACCGGUUUUGACCAGUGAGGUCCGAGGAAAAUACCCCGGCUGAACUUUCCCUGGACACCGGUUGAACCUCUCUGGACCCCGGUUGAACUCGCCCUGGACCCCGGUUGAACCUCUCUAGACCCCGGUUGAACUUGCCCUGGACCCCGGUUGAAGUUGAAGUUCAGCUGGAGUUGAGAAAGCUCAACUCAACUGAAGUUCAGCUCAGCUGCAGCUGAAGAAGCUCAGCUCAGGUGAAGUUCAGCUCAGCUGAAAAGCUCAGCUGCAGUUUAAGAAGUUCAGCUGCUUUUCAACAAGAACACUCUAGGUUUCUCAAACCUAACCACGGUCAACCAAAGAAUUUUAAAGAGAUUUUUGGUUUUCAAGAAAUAGCUUUUGAAUAUAGAGGCUUGAGCUUUGGCAAACACCUACCUUCUUUUUGGAUCCCUCUUUAUAGUACGACGAUUCCUAUGCUCAAGUUAAAUAAAAUAUAAUUAAGUAAACUCCUUGAGUAAUUGGCAUCUCAUGUGUGAUUUCUCCAUGGCGUUGCUUCAUAAGGAUCACAAACAUCUUUGUCUCACCUUUUGAAGCAAACAUAAAUCAAACCCUGUGACUUGUACCAUAUCACCAUGUAUGAGUUCAAAUCAUGGCUUCAAGUCACCUUGCUGAUGCAUCAACAUGUUAUAACUCUUCAUAGCUGAUUAGUUCAUCGACUUAGUGCAAGUACUCUCUUCUUCACCUUAGCCAUGGUACCUCGGUCCACAAGCCGUCGCUUGGCCUUCACCUUCGCUUAGUUCCUCGAAGCCCUUUCCUUGCUAUCUUCACCCUAUCAAGCCAUUCUUGAGUCACAUCAUUUUGAGCAUCCAUUGAGAGAAUCAUUUCUUCAAUAUUGUGAACCUUGCUUGAAUGUCUUCUAGAUAUAACUGUUAAGAUUAAUCAAGCUCUAGUUUGAUUCUCAUAGAAGCAUAUAUGGACUGAUAGUAAUAUGGUCAAGCCAAUUCACGAUUCCUCAUAUCUUAUUCACUUUGGCUUGACCUAUCCUCUUAAUCACUUCAUCCUCUAUUCUGAUCAUAUGUAUGUAGUGAUUUCUCAGGUCUUGUCCAUAUAUUCAAACCAAUGUAGAGAUCAUAUUAUAUCCAUUUGCAUUGUCUCAUUGGUUAUUUAACCUCGUGUUGAACCUUUGUUCACUGAUCAUUAUACACUAUUCAAGUAUGUUCAUCAUACUGAAUUUCCUGUUCAACACUUAUCAAACUCGUUAGACCUUUAAAUGUGUUGUUAUCCAAAUCACCAAAACUCACAAAAGGGAUGAAUGCACUUUCAAUCUCCCCCUUUUUGGUGAUUGAUGACAACACAUUUAAAGCUUACAUAAGAUUUGAUAAAUAAGAUUUUGAAUCCUAUGAUAUAGUUUCCUCCCCCUAAAUAUGUGCAUUUCAGAAAAACAACACUUUUGUACUCAAAUGCCAAAAGCACAUAUUUGGGUCAAAGUAUGGAGACAACUUAUAUCAUACUAUUCAUGGGGUGCAGUGUGUCAUAAAAUAAACGUGAUGUUCAUGACAUAGUAUGCACUCAUCAAUUUUCUACAUCUUAUGUUUUUCUUAUGACUUCCCCUUUUGUUAAUUAUUUCUCCCCUUUUUAAAGUCUUCUAACACUUAGUUACAUAAGACUAAAGGUAAGCUUUAAUGCAAAAUUUCUCCCCCUUUGUCAUAAAUCUCCAAAAAGGAUACAAAGAAUAUAAAGGGUAGAAAUUAUGAUUAAGCAGGAUGGGAACACACUAUUAUGAAAAGGGUCCUUAGAUGGCACAAAGGUAAUGGAGAAGUGACAUGAGGUGAUGUACCUUUGCAUUUUUACCUUUUCAAGGGGAGUUCCAAACUUGUGUUGGAUUUACAAUUCAUUUGCAAGCUCUUGUUGGUAUAGUUGUGACAUAGGUCCAAGAUAUUAAAUGAAGAUUGUCAUACUAAAUCGAAGGUGACGCUUUAUACCUGGAGUCUAGAUGUCACCUAGCAUUUUCUUAUCAUAACAAGAGGCAACAUGAAAAUUGCACAAGUGUGGAUUAUACAACUAGUGAUCAUGUAUGAAAAAUAUCAAUUGAAAAACACCAAUUGAUAUAAUUUGAUAGAUAAGCAUAUCACUAAUUUCAUAUUACAUUAAGUUCUCAUCAAGUUUUAUUGCACACAUAUAUAUGUAUUCAAUUGAUACCUAUUGAGAGUACUUAUUUGCAAUUUAAAGUACCAUUGGCAUAAAAAGAGUAUCAAUUGAAUAUAAUUAUACAAUAUAAGGAACAUGUGCACUAUUUAAUCAAUUAAGUUCUAGAAAGGAGAAUUUAUAAGCUAUGCUACUUUAGACAUUUGCAAUCCAAAAGGAUGUGAUACAUGUUUACCAAUUUUAGAUGAUGUUGGAGUAUCAUAUAAAAGAGAAACUCAUUCCCUUAUGAAAUGUAUAAAAGAUACAUUUAUUGGAGCAAAGAAUUUUUUAUACCCAUCAAAUUUGCAGUGGAAGCGAUUGUCUUUGCCCGAAAAUUCCUUUCUAAUUUGAGACUACACACAUAAUAGACUUGGAAAUGAAGUUAGUCUCAAAGAUUCAAAUUAUAGACUAUUCUCCCCCUAAAUGUGUGCAUACAAGUGAUGAAUACUUGUUUAGCUUAUGCACUUGGACUUGUGAGGCCAGGGGAUUAAGUUCUACAAUUUGAACCUUGGUACAAAUAAAGUAUGAAAAUAUGAAAUUGCACCAAUUUAAGGAAUUACUCAUAAUCAAAAUGUAUACUAAUAGACAUGAUAUGCAAUAUUUUAAGCCAAGAUUCAAGUGCAACCUUAUGAUGUGACUUAAGAUAUUGCAUACACUAACUUGUAAGAGCCUAGAUACACAAAUGUAAUACAAUAGUUCAUGGAGUGACACACCUUUGUUCCAUGCCAUAUGGUCUUCAUUAUAAUCAUGAAUUUCCAUCUUAGCUUUUGAUAGGCUUGACAUUUCAAAGAGAAACUUAUCCUCUUCACAUGAUCAAGAGAAACUCAUUUUCAUUUCUAUGGAACCAUUCAUUCUCAUUUGAUGUUCUCCAGGGUGUGAGACUACACAACAUGAACUUGAAAGAAAUCAUUAGUCUCACAAGAUAUAGGCUAAACUCUCCCUCAAUUUGUGCUUGCAAGAGUACACAAAGUAUACUUAUGCACAUCAACAAUACGAGGUUGAAGAAGAUGUUUGCACUAUAUCUUGGUUGAACAUAACAUGCCUUCAUAGAUGAUGAAAAUAAACCAAUUGAAAGUUUAAGAACUGAAAGUAUAUCAAUUGAAAUCCUGAAGGGUAAAGCAUGCUGAUAUAAAUCUCAAACCUCAUAAUGAAGGAUAUCAUAUAAAUAUGUCACUACAUCUUCAUUAUUUGGUUGAAAAAAACAAAAAAAUAACUCCCUUCUUGAAUCACUGUGAUCUCUUUUCCCUUUACGAUUUCAUCCAACCAAGUGAUCUUGAACUUCUUUCAUCUUUUCUUGAUUCGAUCAUACUUGAUAUGAGACCUAUUGAAACUCAAUGAUUGAAAGAACCAAGACUCUUAUAUUUGUAGAUUUUGAAUUCAUCUUCAAAGAACUUGGGAAGACCUUGUUGAAACACUUAGAAAAGAGAGCAUUAGAAACACAAGAGAGGGUUUCACAAAUGAUGAUCCUUAUAUGUGGAUGGCAAAUGAAUCAUCAUUAUUGAAACCCAAAAGGAUAGACUAAAUUCCUUUAAAUUAGUGCACACAUAUAGUUGAUGUCAAAGUUAUAUGCACUAUUGAACAUUUUAUAUUGCAAGGAAUUUAACCUAUACUAUGGUACAUCCCACUAAGGAUAGAAUACUAAAACAACCGAAGGAGAGGAAGUUUUCAUACCUUGGCCUCUGAUCAACUUCUUCUUACUUUAGUUGAAUAGUAUCAUUUAAGCUUGUGAUUUAUCCAAUUUAAAACAAGUACCAUCUCUUAACAUAGAUUUUCUAUGGAUAACUCAACACAAGAGAUGACAUUAGUAGCACAAGCACUAGUUUCUUAUUUAGCAACCCUUUAUAUGUGGAAGGCAAGCGAGUUGCUAAAAUAGAGAAACAUCAUAAUAUGGACUAAAUUUCCCUUGAGCCCUCAUGCACAAUAUAUUUUGAAUGACAUGGAUAAUAUGCAUGGUUGUUCAAUGAAGUCUAAAGGGCUGACUUAAUCCAUAUUAUGGUGGGUGUCUAAUAAAGAAGAAUCAAAUCCAAAUUAACUAGAUAGAGAAUACGUCACAUAAUUUUGGAUUGUUCACCAUAUGAUAAUAUUCAUUCAUCUUCCAAUUAGACCUUUAUUUCAUAAUCAACAACUGAUGUAUAUCUUCAAGUGCUUCUUUUUCCUUAGUGGCUACACAAGUCACAAAAAAGAUAAGAUUUGAAAAUAAUUGUCACACCCGGUUUUAGAAGGCAAACCGAAUGCGAACCAUGUACGUGCCAGGAUCAGUUAUUCACGUACACAGCAGUUACAUAAUAUGGACAUCAUCACACAGUGCUCAGAAUAGUAUUAAAAAGGGAAAUAGUUGAUUACAUCAUACGUCUGAGACGUCCAUAUAGUCCUUACAAUAAAUCAAAGUGCGGAAAAGAAACGUAGAUAACCGCGGCCUUCACAGGCAGCCGACUGGGGGUUGCCGCUAACCCACACCUAGAACUCGUCGUAAUCUUGGAACUCCUGGAAGUCUCCUUCCACAGCUUCAUCUUCGCCUGAGCAGUGGUUGCAAUGCUGACAACCUGGGGGGGUUUGGUGUGUAGAGCAAGGGUGAGUACACAUCAACAUACUCAGCAAGCAUCCUGUUUGGCUGUAGUGGACUAGCUUUAUGUGGGGAUAAGUCAAGCAGUUGCUUUUAGUUGGUCAGAUUAUUACUUACUAGUAGAAAGCCAAGUUUUAGCAUUAACCCAAGUUAUUAACCCAAACGUACUCCUUUCCAAACGGCAAGAGUACCACUUACCAGCAUCAUAGUCAUAACCAAAACCAUCAAUCUCAUAACCACCUGUACCAAAGUAUCUCUGAUCAAGUACCACUAAUCACUGGAGCUCCCUUGGCCGCUCAUAACCGUGAGCACGGCUGAUAUAUCAGUUUCAUAACACUCUGCAGAGGUUGUGCACUUUACCCACAAGCCGUGAUUCCCUCUCUGGCCCGGGCUUGCAAGACCCUUAUUCACUCCCAAGGUGAAUGGCCAGGGAUUCACUACGAAGCCUUUACAAAGAUUCCCCGGGGCUGUAGCCACCCGUUAGGUUUCCUAAAUGCACCGCACUCCUCCCCAAGGGGCGAACCCAAACUUGGCAGAGCGAGCCGCAUACACCGAGCCCCAUUGACGGCACGACGGCUAAGUGAACUACACCCCGGAUCCUCUAAUUAUUCAGCUAAGGGCACCCCAUUCCACCCUUAUGGUUGCACUGUUUUCCCGGGCGGUCAUCCAUAGAACAGGUCCUUACGGAGAGGCACUCGAGAAACCGCUCGAGCCCCCUUGAAGACCACAAGUAUCACAUCAUCAUAAGAGAAGGGGAAAACAGCGUAUCAUAGAUAAUCUCAUCAUGUUCAUUGAUUAGAGUUUGAGCAAUAGCAUAAAGCUAAACAGUAAUAAUCCAACCCAGAUAGGUAAACAAGGACAUGGAUAACAAAAGCUAGUCAAUCCUUAGGCAUAAAUGUGUAAAGCGGGAGGUGAAUUAAAUAAUGAAUAGGACAUAGAUAGGUCAAGGGACACUUGCCUCCACCAAACGACUGCUGCUCAGGGGCUUCUCCUGCGAAUUCCUCGGGCUCUUCAACCGGAUCGUUCUCUAUGCGAGCGCAAACAUACAUACAUCCACAUAUUUAAUACAAAAGAACAGUACACCAUACAAGGGAACAUACAAGGGAGCAAGUAAAGCGAAUAUGCAUCAAGUAUGACAUUCGAUAUCGCAUUUGUUAUGGUUAGAAAGAAACGGGAAAGGGUCUCGCAAGGGGUUAAAUCUUAUGCACUAACGAUCAAUUACAAUUGGUUCUUAACAAAAGAAUUCUGUUAUAUGCACUAAUGGAAACCUAUUUAUUUUAAGUUGAUCAACAUUGAACGAGAUAAACAGUUAAUCACAUGAAUCAAUUAGCAUAACGGAAUUUUAAAUUAAACUUUCCUAUUUCAAUAACAUGAACAAUGAUUAACCUACCUAAAAUAAAAUAGUUAUGAUCACAGAAAGUAAAUAAAAUAAAAUAAAAAAAAUAAAAAAACAGAGGGGGGGCGGUUGAACCGGCCCUAGGGGCGGUUGAACCGGCCGGGGGCAGGGCGCGCAGGGGCGGCCGAGCCGGGGCGGCUGAGCCGGCCGAGCGGCCAGGGGGCGCGGCCAGGGGCGCGGCCAGGCGGGCGGCCGGGCGGGCGGCCGGGGCGCGUGGCCAGGCGGGCGGCCAGGCGGGCGGCCGGGCCAGGGCGCGGCCGGGCGGGGCACGCGGCCAGGCGGCCAGGCGGGCGGCCGAGCCAGGCGGCCGGGCGGGCGGCCGAGCCAGGCGGCCGGGCGGCGCGCGGCCAGGGGGCGCGGUUGGGGCGGUGGCCGAGGAGAGAGGAGGGGAGAGGGGAGAGGGAGGGAAAGGGAGGGGGCUCACCGGCGACGGGGACGGGGCGGGGCGGCUGAGCGGGGCGGCCGAGCGGGGCGGCCGAUCGGCGACGGGGAGGGGCGGCCGGCAGGGGGCGGCGGCGGCUUAGGGCAGGGGCGGGUAGGGGCGGCGCUAGGGGAGAGAGAGGGAAAUGAGGGAGAGGGAGAGGGAUUGGGGGUUUUGGGGAAAAUAAAGGGAGGGGGGCGGCAUGGGCCAAUUGGGCCCAAAGGGGGGCGCCAGGGGCGGCUGGGCCGGCCGGGGUCGGCCCACGGCGCGAGAGAGAGAGAAAAAGAGGAGAGAGAAAGAGAGAGAAAAAAAGAAAGAAAAGAUCUUCUCCUCAUUUUCGAAAUCCGAUCUUUCUACAUGAAUGCAUUUGCACUUUCAAAGCAAUCCAAAGAAAUGCAAGGUUCGGCAUGGUGCAUCAAACAACAUAAAGUAUUUAGGGUUUUCUUAUACGGGAAAUCCAAACCGAAUCCCGCUAGAACUUUGGAAAAGGUCAAGGUUUAGCGAGGGGAAAAAGAAAAAGAAAAGGUAACGCCCGAAUUUUGGCGAGUAAAGAAAAGAAAAAAUUCAACUGCAAAAUUCGGGGCGUUACAAACCUAUCCCCCUUAAAAGAAUCUCGCCCUCGAGAUUCAGGGCUGGCUAGCAAAGAGCUCUGGGUACUUGGCCAUCAAAUCAUCUUCACGCUCCCAGGUUGCUUCUUCCUCAGAGUGGUGAUUCCAUCUGACUUUGCACAUUCUGAUGGUCUUCCUUCGGGUGACUCUAUCUGCAAUCUCAAGGAUCUGAGCUGGCUUCUCAACAUAGGUCAAGUCCUCCUGGACCUCAAGACCUUCCACUGGCAACUGCUCUUCCGGCACACGCAAGCACUUCUUCAACUGAGACACAUGAAAGACAUUAUGCACAGCAGACAAAUUCUCCGGCAAACUGAGCUGAUAAGCCACUUCUCCUCGUCUUGCAAGAAUCUGAUACGGACCAAUGUAGUGGGGUGCUAGCUUGCCUUUCACUCCGAACCUUCUGACUCCUCUGAUCGGUGACACUUUCAGAUAAACAAAGUCUCCGACUUCGAAACUCAGCUCUCUUCUUCUUGUGUCUGCAUAGCUUCGCUGCCUUGAUUGCGCUAUCUUCAGAUUCUCUCGAACCAUCUUGAUGUUCUCUUCGGCUUCAAGCAAAAUGUCUGGCCCAAAUACUUGCUUUUCUCCAGGCUGAUCCCAUUGCAACGGAGUUCUACAACUUCUUCCAUAAAGCGCCUGAAACGGUGACAUCUUCAAACUGGCCUGGUAACUGUUGUUAUAGGAAAACUCCGCAUAAGGCAAUCUCUUGUCCCAUCCGGACUGAUCUUGCAACGCACAAGCUCUCAACAUAUCUUCGAGAAUUUGAUUGGUCCUUUCGGUCUGGCCAUCUGUCUGCGGGUGAUAAGCUGAACUGAAAUUCAGAUACGUGCCCAAAGCUUCAUGCAACUGCCGCCAGAAAUGAGAGGUGAACUGCGUUCCUCUGUCUGACACUAUCUUCUUUGGCACACCAUGAAGACAAACGAUCCGAGACAUAUACAAUUCUGCCAAUACUGCACUGUUGUAGUUGGUCUUGACAGGUAUGAAGUGGGCUGACUUGGUCAAACGGUCCACUACUACCCAAAUGGAAUCGUAGCCGGCUCGAGUGCGAGGCAAUCCAACUAUGAAAUCCAUACCAAUUUCAUCCCAUUUCCACUGAGGGAUCUGCUUCACUGCUAUCAACAGUCAUCUGAUAACAACUUCCUUUCUUUGGCUCAGGCGGGACUAACUCGGUCACCACUUCCUCUCCUAUUGGGGACACCAACCUGAUUGUCCUUUUAUCACAACUGAUAACUGCCUGAUACUUAUCUAGCCAAUUCAUCCCUAGGAUGACAUCUAUUCCCUGAGUACCCAUUACUAUAAGGUUGGCGGGAAACGCUAUCCCCCUUAUUUUCACACUUAUAUUCAAACAAAUGCUAUCGGCUCGAAUUCUACCACCGGCUGAGUCAAUUUGAAUGGGGGUUGACAUGGUAGUAAUUGGAAGAUUAUGUGCUUCUACCCAUGAUGCAGUAAUGAAAGAAUGCGUUGCUCCAGUAUCAAAUAACACUUCUGCAAUAUGGGAGUCGACUGGGAACAUACCUACUAUCAUGCCGGGGGUCUCCUGAACUGCCUCAGCUUCCAAAUGGUUCAGCCUUCCAUGAUUAUAGCGCUGUUGAGGGCGGUUGCCUGCUCCAGGCUGAGGCACAUUCUGCUUUGCUGGGGCAUUGGGGCCUGACUGCUGCUGGGCUGCCUUCUUCGGACAUUGCAUCACCCAGUGGCCUUGCUCUCCACAGUGGAAACAUGCUCUGUUUCCAACCUGAGCUGGUGCUGCCUGACUGUUCUGCUGGUUUGCUGGGGCAGGAAGACGAGGUGCCUGCUGAUUCUGCCUCGGAAACUGACCUCCUGACUGGUUGCUCUGACGGUUCUGAUACUGAUUCUGAGGGUACUGCCUUUGAAACUGCUGAUGCUGAGGUGGACGCUGGUUCUGCCUGAACUGCUGAGGUUGAUUGCUUGAGAAACGAGGACGGCUGCUGCUUCCAGGCUGGGGUCCACUGAUCUUGCGCUUACGAUCUUCCAUCUCCUUGCGCUUCCUCUCUGUCAUGAUUGCUCUGUCAAUCAGGUGCUGGAAUGUCGGGAAGGUGUGAUUCAUCAGCUGAUACUGCAGAGGGUCAACCAAGCCUCUCAAGAAACGGUAUUGUCGCUUGGCGUCGGUGUUGACAUCUUCAGGAGCAUAGCGAGACAAUUGCAGAAACUUGUCCCGGUACUCACUGACAGACAAUGACCCUUGCUUGAGGGCCAGGAAUUCCUCCUUCUUCACUGUCAUCAGACCUGCAGGGACAUGGUACUGACGAAAGCUUCCUCUGAACUCUUCCCAGGUGAUGGCGUCAGGGUGGGCAUGGGUGGCGAGGUAAGACUCCCACCAUGACUGGGCUGCUCCUCUCAACAGACGGGGACCAUACAGAACUUUCUCCCUGUCAUCGCACUGAGCGGUAUGCAACUCCCGCUCCACAGUGUGCAGCCAAUCUUCAGCAUCCAUGGGGUCAGAAGAAUGAGCGAACGUUGGUGGAUGACCUCUCAUGAAUUCAGCACGCUUGUCUCUGGGCAUCUGAGGCAUCUGAGGCUGGGGUGGUGCUUGCUGCUGUUGCUGCUGCUGCUGCUGAAUGGCGGCCAAAGUCUGACCGAUGGCCUGAACUGCCUGAGUCUGCAUCAGAAACAUCUGCUCGAUGGACAUCGGGGGCGGGGGCGGCAGGUGCUGCUGCUGGGGCACCUCCUCCUGUUGAGCGGCUCGCUCCUGCUGAGCACGCCUUCCUCCUCUGCGCCUGUUCUCUGACAUCUGCAGAAUGCAACCACACAUCAGAACUGAUCUGGCAAAUCUUGCAGCAUAAGGAAAGAGAAUAGAAUUCUUCAACAGCACUGAACAGAUGAGCAUCUUCACUGAUCUCCAACACAGACCACACAGCUUCUCAGAUAAAGAGGAAAGUGGAAAAAAAGGGGGUUUCCCAACUAUAUAACUAACUCCAUUAACAUAAUAGGUAAACCAAAAUGCAGGGGAUACCCACACUCUGGUGACAAUCAUUACAAAGAUCCAAACCAAACAUGGUUCAUCAUGACAAACAUAAAUGCACAGGAUAUAGCAAACUACCCUGUCUAACUAAGACUAACUAAGACUGAGACUAACGCUAAGACUGAAGCUUCUAUGUAUAUAUUUCGUAUUAAUUACAAGAUCCAACUCUAACGAUCUAUGGUUCUAGAGUUAUCUUGGUCUUGCAGGCAGGGUUGCCAUAAGACUGGUGUCCACGCUGAGGUGAGCGGUACGGGUGCUGAGUCCCGACGGGAGCGGGGGAACCACCAUCCAAGUGACGACGUUCCGCGCGCUCAGCCCGCAGCAGGGCGAUCUCAGCACGAGCCCUACUCAGCUCGUCUAAUGCAUGGUCCAGCUCCGUGUUUAGCACGGCGGCUAGGUUGACUGUGCUGCUCAACCUAGGAUUGCCCUCACCGACAGGUGAGACAAUCACGCCUCCUGUGCUGCCAGAUGGUCGGCGGGGGUAAUACUUCAGGUCAAGACCGUCAGCUGCCCCACCGAAAACCGAGCAGUAGUGCGAAAGCGCACGCCGUGCAGCAUCUUGCAUGGCUGCCUCAGCUGAGUCCCGUUCAGAGAUAGAAUAGUGCUCUGAGCAGGCCUCUGCACCCUGGAGACUGUUCUCCGGGCAGCGCACCAAGCAAGUUGCCUCCCAGCGGUCCGGGUAGACCCCGCGACUGUGCUGGUAGACCACACAGCGAUACUCGACGGACCAAGUAUGCCGGUCAAAUGCCCGACGUAGCAGGGUGUCGAGCGCAUCGUGGAAGUGACACCCGCGAGCAGCGUCGCGAGUGAUGGGUCGAGCAACCCAUCCUUCCGGCUCAAGGUUAGCAGAGAAGUCGGUGUCGUGGCUCGAGCUGUCGUCGCCAUCUCCGUCGUCUGGGUCUCCUCCAGCAGCUACUCCUGAAGCUGGGGCGCCCAGUGGUGGUGCAGGGGGCGGCUCCAGAGGAAGCACAGGGGAGCAGCUCCUCACAGACUCUAUCUCCUGGUGGAGCGAGAAGGAAGAGCCCUGCUGCUCCUGUCGUCGACGCUCCUGCUCCUCGCGCAGGCGGUGGUGUAGUCUCCCCAAGUGGCUGGACUGUCCGGCCACGGGACGGCGAAGCGGACGCUCAGCAAGGCGGGAGGGUAAGAAGGGGAUGACUGACUUUCGUGCAGUGUGUCUAAGUCGAGCCAUCUACAAAAGACAUCGCAAGCAAAAGGGUGAGAACAGAAUUAAUAUGACCAGCAAAUAAUGAAUCAUAAGUAAAUGAAGGAUUAGAAUAAAACAUGAUUUUCAACAAGGUAAAGUAUAUAGUAGAACAUAGGUUUGGUCGGUAUGACCAACUUUUGAAGGGAUAUCAAAGUCAAGGCAGAGACAGAGGUCUAUAGUCCUUAGAACGACCAUUCUACUCUAGGUUAGCGGUCCUACAGUCAGCACGGCUUUGAUACCACUUAUGUCACACCCGGUUUUAGAAGGCAAACCGAAUGCGAACCAUGUACGUGCCAGGAUCAGUUAUUCACGUACACAGCAGUUACAUAAUAUGGACAUCAUCACACAGUGCUCAGAAUAGUAUUAAAAAGGGAAAUAGUUGAUUACAUCAUACGUCUGAGACGUCCAUAUAGUCCUUACAAUAAAUCAAAGUGCGGAAAAGAAACGUAGAUAACCGCGGCCUUCACAGGCAGCCGACUGGGGGUUGCCGCUAACCCACACCUAGAACUCGUCGUAAUCUUGGAACUCCUGGAAGUCUCCUUCCACAGCUUCAUCUUCGCCUGAGCAGUGGUUGCAAUGCUGACAACCUGGGGGGGGUUUGGUGUGUAGAGCAAGGGUGAGUACACAUCAACAUACUCAGCAAGCAUCCUGUUUGGCUGUAGUGGACUAGCUUUAUGUGGGGAUAAGUCAAGCAGUUGCUUUUAGUUGGUCAGAUUAUUACUUACUAGUAGAAAGCCAAGUUUUAGCAUUAACCCAAGUUAUUAACCCAAACGUACUCCUUUCCAAACGGCAAGAGUACCACUUACCAGCAUCAUAGUCAUAACCAAAACCAUCAAUCUCAUAACCACCUGUACCAAAGUAUCUCUGAUCAAGUACCACUAAUCACUGGAGCUCCCUUGGCCGCUCAUAACCGUGAGCACGGCUGAUAUAUCAGUUUCAUAACACUCUGCAGAGGUUGUGCACUUUACCCACAAGCCGUGAUUCCCUCUCUGGCCCGGGCUUGCAAGACCCUUAUUCACUCCCAAGGUGAAUGGCCAGGGAUUCACUACGAAGCCUUUACAAAGAUUCCCCGGGGCUGUAGCCACCCGUUAGGUUUCCUAAAUGCACCGCACUCCUCCCCAAGGGGCGAACCCAAACUUGGCAGAGCGAGCCGCAUACACCGAGCCCCAUUGACGGCACGACGGCUAAGUGAACUACACCCCGGAUCCUCUAAUUAUUCAGCUAAGGGCACCCCAUUCCACCCUUAUGGUUGCACUGUUUUCCCGGGCGGUCAUCCAUAGAACAGGUCCUUACGGAGAGGCACUCGAGAAACCGCUCGAGCCCCCUUGAAGACCACAAGUAUCACAUCAUCAUAAGAGAAGGGGAAAACAGCGUAUCAUAGAUAAUCUCAUCAUGUUCAUUGAUUAGAGUUUGAGCAAUAGCAUAAAGCUAAACAGUAAUAAUCCAACCCAGAUAGGUAAACAAGGACAUGGAUAACAAAAGCUAGUCAAUCCUUAGGCAUAAAUGUGUAAAGCGGGAGGUGAAUUAAAUAAUGAAUAGGACAUAGAUAGGUCAAGGGACACUUGCCUCCACCAAACGACUGCUGCUCAGGGGCUUCUCCUGCGAAUUCCUCGGGCUCUUCAACCGGAUCGUUCUCUAUGCGAGCGCAAACAUACAUACAUCCACAUAUUUAAUACAAAAGAACAGUACACCAUACAAGGGAACAUACAAGGGAGCAAGUAAAGCGAAUAUGCAUCAAGUAUGACAUUCGAUAUCGCAUUUGUUAUGGUUAGAAAGAAACGGGAAAGGGUCUCGCAGGGGGUUAAAUCUUAUGCACUAACGAUCAAUUACAAUUGGUUCUUAACAAAAGAAUUCUGUUAUAUGCACUAAUGGAAACCUAUUUAUUUUAAGUUGAUCAACAUUGAACGAGAUAAACAGUUAAUCACAUGAAUCAAUUAGCAUAACGGAAUUUUAAAUUAAACUUUCCUAUUUCAAUAACAUGAACAAUGAUUAACCUACCUAAAAUAAAAUAGUUAUGAUCACAGAAAGUAAAUAAAAUAAAAUAAAAAAAAAUAAAAAAAACAGAGGGGGGGCGGUUGAACCGGCCCUAGGGGCGGUUGAACCGGCCGGGGCAGGGCGCGCAGGGGCGGCCGAGCCGGGGCGGCUGAGCCGGCCGAGCGGCCAGGGGGCGCGGCCAGGGGCGCGGCCAGGCGGGCGGCCGGGCGGGCGGCCGGGGCGCGCGGCCAGGCGGGCGGCCGGGGCGCGGCCGGGCCAGGGCGCGGCCGGGCGGGGCACGCGGCCAGGCGGCCAGGCGGGCGGCCGAGCCAGGCGGCCGGGCGGGCGGCCGAGCCAGGCGGCCGGGCGGCGCGCGGCCAGGGGGCGCGGUUGGGGCGGUGGCCGAGGAGAGAGGAGGGGAGAGGGGAGAGGGAGGGAAAGGGAGGGGGCUCACCGGCGACGGGGACGGGGCGGGGCGGCCGAGCGGGGCGGCCGAGCGGGGCGGCCGAUCGGCGACGGGGAGGGGCGGCCGGCAGGGGGCGGCGGCGGCUUAGGGCAGGGGCGGGUAGGGGCGGCGCUAGGGGAGAGAGAGGGAAAAUGAGGGAGAGGGAGAGGGAUUGGGGGGUUUUGGGGAAAAUAAAGGGAGGGGGGCGGCAUGGGCCAAUUGGGCCCAAAGGGGGGCGCCAGGGGCGGCUGGGCCGGCCGGGGUCGGCCCACGGCGCGAGAGAGAGAGAAAAAGAGGAGAGAGAAAGAGAGAGAAAAAAAGAAAGAAAAGAUCUUCUCCUCAUUUUCGAAAUCCGAUCUUUCUACAUGAAUGCAUUUGCACUUUCAAAGCAAUCCAAAGAAAUGCAAGGUUCGGCAUGGUGCAUCAAACAACAUAAAGUAUUUAGGGUUUUCUUAUACGGGAAAUCCAAACCGAAUCCCGCUAGAACUUUGGAAAAGGUCAAGGUUUAGCGAGGGGAAAAAGAAAAAGAAAAGGUAACGCCCGAAUUUUGGCGAGUAAAGAAAAGAAAAAAUUCAACUGCAAAAUUCGGGGCGUUACAAUAAUAUGCACUUGAGAUUCAGUUGUUACCACCCUUGCUACUAUCUCCAAAUGUGAAUUAUACAUUCAUUAUCAAGCACCCAACUUGAUCCAUUGAAGGAGUGAUCCUGCAAAACAAGUUUGAGCUUCAUAUUUUGGUACCCAAUUUGAAUUGGGUCCUUUGAGAUUAGUAGUAAGAGCCUUAAGUACCCACACAAUCCUUAUUGUGGCCUUUCUCUUUGUGUAGGCACCCACAUAUACUUGACAACCAUCUUACAUGGUUUCAAGUCAAUAUUUAAUCACAUAGAUAAAAGCUAGAGUUAAGAAUAGGAGCCUUUUUUUCCUUUUCUUGAUACAUCAUUGUGUUGCCUUCUUGAUGAUGAACCUAGCUUGACCUUGGGUGCACCUAGCUUAUUAAGGUUAAUUGCACAAGCAUUCAUAUCAUAAAGACAAGUUAUGCAUGUAAUUUACAACUUAGUGAUCCAAUUCAAUGUGAAGCAUAUGGAUACCGAUUAAAGUAGAUUUCUAAGAUAUCAAAAUAUGGGUUUCCAAAAUUUAGAGAGUAUGGAUCACUAAUUGUACCUUUUACAGUUUAAAAAUCAUAUCCAUGUUAGUGCAUAUGUAUGAGAUGAAUAUCAACAAAAAAGAUUCUUAUGCACUUUUAGAUUUAACUAUAAGGGAAUUUUAAAUUGCAUCAAGAGUAGCUAUUAAAAAAACAAAGAUUACAAUCCAUAUGAAUGAGAUACAAAUUUACCAUUUUGGAUUGUCUUAGUAUAGCUUACUCAAGGGAAACUUAUUCUCUACGACACAAGAUAUAUAAUGUUCUCCCACUAGAUAUGUGCAUCAAGUAUUUGAAUGACUUACCACAUGCACUUUCAAUUCAGUUAAGAGUCUCAUGAGGAGUACAUUACAUAUCAUGGUCAAGGCAUGACAAAUUUGCAAUGAAUUAACUUAUGCCUAAGAAUACUUACCACCAUAUAGAACGUACCAUUUGUUAUACCAAUUUGACAGAUCUUACUAUCUGUGGUGGUGUCACCUUAGUAUUCUUAUUUUCAUCAUUUGUGGAUACUUCCUUCUUUGUUAUCUCUUUUCCUUUUAAAACUAGUCGAUAAAACAUUUUGAAAAGAGGCAUUAGUAGUACAAGGAAGUAUUUAAUGAAUGAUGAUAUCUAUAUAUGAAUGGCAAACAAAUCAUCAUUUAUGAGGCAUAAAGGCAUAAAUUAAAUUCAUUUUAAAUUAAUGCACAUGGAUGAGUGAAUUAAUAAUAUGCACCAAUUUACAAAUUUAAGCCAAAAGGAAUUUAACCUUCAUAUUGGCAUUUCUUUCCAUAAAAUAGAUUAUUACCAAUUGAAAGAAUGCCACUUGAAAGGAACUAUUAUUGGUCACAUACCAAAUGAAACAACUAGUUCCAUACAUUUGCCUUGAGCAUUCCUAAUCUUUCUUUAUUUGAAGAUUAACCUUUAAUGCUUGUGACUUUACCAAAUGAAAGAGCACAAUCUCUACUUAUGAAUUUCCAUGAAAUGGCUUAAAAGAGAUUGCAUUAGAAACACAAACAAUAUUUUCCUAUUUAGAAACCUCUAGUAUAUGAAUGACAAGAAGGUUACUAAAAUAAGGAAACCUCAUGAUAUGAACUAAAUUGCCCUUACAAGCAUCAUGCAUAACACCAAAAUUAAACAAGGUGAAAAAAACAUGAUUAUUUAAUUAAGUUUACAUGGCAAGUUUAAUUCAUAGCAUGGUGAGUGAUUAAUGUAGAAGACCCAAAACCAAUUUAAAUGAGAAUGAAUACAUCACAUAGUAUUGGUUCGAUCUUCUUUGAAUGUUGAAUGACACACUCCAUUUGAGAAACACAUUCUCAUGUUCUGAGACUACAUUAACACUUAGAUAGAAAUAUUAGUCUCACAACUCUAGUCAUAUAGAGAAUUCCCCUUUUGAUAAGUGCUUUAAGAAUUUGAAUUUCUUACUUAGCACUCUAUUCAUUUAAGAACAUGGGAUAAUCCUCUUUAUGUCUAGGUCAUGGCAAUAAUACGAUAAUUCAUUUGAAAUAUGCCACGAAUUAAUUAUCAUCAAUUAAAGUAUGUAGAUUGCCACAUAUAAGAAUAACAAAUAUGCAAUCUACCAUAUAAUUGGAUUCUUUCCAAAGCAAGGUAAAAUAUUUUAAGUUCAUUCUCAUGUGCUUCAUUUUUCCUAUGCGGCUACAAAAGACACAAAUGAAUAUAAUAAUUAAAAGCAAUGUGCACCUAAGAUUUAAUUUUUACCAUCCUUUGGAUAUCCCUUAGUUGUAGGCAUUUUGCUUGACAAAGGUUAAUCCUUAUUCCCUACAACACAAGUUCUUGCUAGAGAUGAAUAUGAAGUUAGUGACAUAACAACUAAAUUCAUCUUUGGGUCAAUCUUAAAGGAUAGACAAUGUAAGAUUGAUAGCUUGAGAUAAGGAUUGAGUUAAACUGCUUAAGCACCCCAAAGCUUCAUAUCAUCUCUAGGUACCUGCAAAAUCUUAUUAAGUAUAUUUUGGUACCCAUCUCAUGAUGGGUCCAUCAAGGUUAGUCAAUAAGGACUUAGGCACCCAAAUACCCUUGGUCCUAGAAUGUGGUGAACUCAUCACCUUUCUAGCACAAGAGUCAAAUUUGGGUCUCCUAAGUAUAUUUGAAUGUAUUGACAGGUUAGGCUUAGGUGUUUUACCCUUUGGACAAACCUUGAAUAGAUGACCUCUUUCACGGCAAUUGUAGCAAAUGCAGUGCUUGUCCUUGCAAUGCAUUUGCCUUUUGCUUUCAUCCUUCUUGAUGGUCAUCUUUCUUGAUCGUGCAAGGUCUUGGUUCUUCAUGCGGGGGCAUGAACCAAUUUCAUGACCCUUCUCCUUGCAUCCAUAGCACCCCCUAUCGCUUCUCUUUGAUCUUUCUUUGUUGAAGCACAUAGGUACAUUGUUAGAACAAAUAAUAUGAGCAUUAAUUUUCUCACCUUGAGUCUUGCUCAUGUCCUUCUUGGAAAGCUUGAUAUUAUUUUGAAGGGGUUUUGUGCAUGCUACGGUUGUCCCCUUCUCAAGCUUUUUCACCAUAUUAUCACGAUUAUCUUGAGAAGCUUGAGCAUGACACUUUCCCUUCAAAAUAGUUAAGCUCCUUCUUAGCCUUCCAACUUCUUCCUUGAGCUCUUUAUUUUCUUGUGUGAUAGAAAUAUCACUAAUUCCUGAAAUUUCUAGCUCAAUGGAAGAUUGGCUUUCUUGAGAGCAACAUUUGUUAGCACAUGAUAAUAUAGUUUCUACUUGAGUACAUGUUCAUAUGUGAGGUUGGUAUGAUUUAAAAUUAGUUAACACAACCUCAUGAGCCAUUUCUAACAUGAUAUGUGAAUCCAUAAAUUUAUAGAGAGCACACAAGCAUAUCAUGUUUUUCUUGCAAAGCUAGAUUUUCAAUAUUUAGCCUUUCUAUCGUGUUCUUGAACAUAGCAUUUUUAUUUUCUAAUUGAGCAAUAUAUGAUGAAUGAUUAACAACUUUAAUUUGCUCAAUUGAAAUGUCUUCAUACCUUUGGACCAAAUCAUCAUGAGAGCACUUUAGCUUCUCAUGCUCUUUGGUCAACUUCUCUAAGUCUUCGAUUUUUCUGAUGAGGAAGUCUUCUUGCUUAUGAAGCAUUUCUUUUUGUUCUUCCGCUCUUUUCAUGAGUUUGAGCAAGCUCAUCCGAUGUUUCUUGCUUAGCUGAGCGAAGAAUUGUUGAAGAUCAUCCUCAUCUUCAUUAUCACUUUCUUGCUCCUCCUCAUCCUCUCUUUCGCUUUCACUGUCACUCCCAUUAGCAAUAAAGCACAUAUGAGAAGUGGAUUUGAAAGACGAACCUUGUGAAGAGGUGGAUUCAUCGUUUGGUCUCCAUCGAUCAUUUUCUUCUUCAAUUUUGUUCUUUGCCUCAUCUUCCUUCAUUUUGAGGAACAUCCUUUCGGCGAUUCUCAUGCCAAGAUCUAUUGCCCUAGGAUCAACAUCUGCACCAAAAGAUGAAGUUGAGGCAAUCUCAACUUUUUCAAGCUUAGAAGCACUUUCGUUUCUUAGUCCCCCCGACAUGAUCUUUUCCUCACACGGUUAAGCGUUAGAACGAGGAUUAGGCUUCGAUACCAAUUGAAAGUUGCCUAGAGGGGGGGUGAAUAGGCAAGUUAAAAAUUUUUCAACAAAAACUAUAAGCAAACUAGGUAAAACCGUCCGGUGUCAAAACCGGUGCAACUGGUUUGAACGAGCUCAACUAAAGAAUGAGAUAUAAAACUGAAUUGAUCUCGAAAUUCACCCAGUCAACUUUGGAAAUGAGAUGUUCUAAAUGAUCCACAGGGUUCAAAGUAGUAGAUCUGAGAAGGGCACUUCUCAAAAUCCACACACCAAAAAGAUAUAAACAAAUCUUUCACGGAAUGGUGAGAGAACGAAGAACACGUAUAAGCACAAUGAACAAGAACACAAGAGACACAAGAUUUAUCCCGAGGUUCGGUCACACCACAAAAGGUGCCCUACUUCCUCGUUGAGGUGCCCACAAAGAGCCGGGUCUCUUUCAACCCUAAUCCUCCCUUUGACGACCACAAAGGUCAAGCCCACACACUAAUCUUUGCUCAAAUGAGCGGGUUAUACAAACUUUCUUGUGGUCUUCCACAAGAUUUGGAGACUCACAAGAGACACCUAGUCGUCUAGGAGCUAGAAGCUCCAAGAGUAAUGAAUCCACAAAGAACUCGAUGUAGUACCAAAGCUCGAAUCAAGAAGAAGAGCAAGAGAGAUUUAGAGAUGAAGCACAAAACCGCAGCUCUCAAGCUCACUCAAAGAUUUCUCUCCAAAGAUUUGAAAUGGGAGAGGCAAGAGAUGUGUGAGAGAGAGAGGGAGGUGUUUCUUGGGUUAGAAAUGGAGUUCAAAUCGUGCUCACUACUCUGGGGAGAGAGGUAGGAGAGAGUAUAUAUAGGUGGAGCUCAAAACUAGCCGUUGGGCAGAUUUUUCUGCCUGAGACCGGUUGAACCGCCCCCUAGGGCGGUUGAACCGCCCCUGGUAGGCCUGGCAGCCUGUCUGCCAGUCUGACUGGCAGACUGACGCGCAGACUGACCUGCAGACUGGUCAAGUUGACCAAGACCGGUUGAACCGCCCCUAAGACCGGUUCAACCGCCUGGGGCAGGCUGACAGACAGUCUGCCAGACAUACUGGAAAACUGCAGGUCAGACUGCAAAAACAGGUCCUGACACCGGUUGAACCGCCCCUAGGGCUGGUUCAACUUCCUGGGGGUCACAUUGGCAGUCAGUCUGCCAGUCAGGAGGUCAGACCGGUCAGGUUACCCUGACACCGGUUGAACCUCCCCUAGGACCGGUUCAACCGGUUUUGACCAGUGAGGUCCGAGGAAAAUACCCCGGCUGAACUUUCCCUGGACACCGGUUGAACCUCUGGACCCCGGUUGAACUUGCCCUGGACCCCGGUUGAACCUCUCUGGACCCCGGUUGAACUUGCCCUGGACCCCGGUUGAAGUUGAAGUUCAGCUGGAGUUGAGAAAGCUCAACUCAACUGAAGUUCAGCUCAGCUGAAAAGCUCAGCUGCAGCUGAAGAAGCUCAGCUCAGGUGAAGUUCAGCUCAGCUGAAAAGCUCAGCUGCAGUUUAAGAAGUUCAGCUGCUUUUCAACAAGAACGCUCUAGGUUUCUCAAACCUAACCACGGUCAACCAAAGAAUUUUAAAGAAAUUUUUGGUUUUCAAGAAAUAGCUUUUGAAUAUAGAGGCUUGAGCUUUGGUAAACACCUACCUUCUUUUUGGAUCCCUCUUUAUAGUACGACGAUUCCUAUACUCAAGUUAAAUAAAAUAUAAUUAAGUAAACUCCUUGAGUAAUUGGCAUCUCAUGUGUGAUUUCUCCAUGGCGUUGCUUCAUAAGGAUCACAAACAUCUUUGUCUCACCUUUUGAAGCAAACAUAAAUCAAACCCUGUGACUUGUACCAUAUCACCAUGUAUGAGUUCAAAUCAUGGCUUCAAGUCACCUUGCUGAUGCAUCAACAUGUUAUAACUCUUCAUAGCUGAUUAGUUCAUCGACUUAGUGCAAGUACUCUCUUCUUCACCUUAGCCAUGGUACCUCGGUCCACAAGCCAUCGCUUGGCCUUCACCUUCGCUUAGUUCCUCGAAGCCCUUUCCUUGCUAUCUUCACCCUAUCAAGCCAUUCUUGAGUCACAUCAUUUUGAGCAUCCAUUGAGAGAAUCAUUUCUUCAAUAUUGUGAACCUUGCUUGAAUGUCUUCUAGAUAUAACUGUUAAGAUUAAUCAAGCUCUAGUUUGAUUCUCAUAGAAGCAUAUAUGGACUGAUAGUAAUAUGGUCAAGCCAAUUCACGAUUCCUCAUAUCUUAUUCACUUUGGCUUGACCUAUCCUCUUAAUCACAUCAUCCUCUAUUCUGAUCAUAUGUAUGUAGUGAUUUCUCAGGUCUUGUCCAUAUAUUCAAACCAAUGUAGAGAUCAUAUUAUAUCCAUUUGCAUUGUCUCAUUGGUUAUUUAACCUCGUGUUGAACCUUUGUUCACUGAUCAUUAUACACUAUUCAAGUAUGUUCAUCAUACUGAAUUUCCUAUUCAACACUUAGCAAACUCGUUAGACCUUUAAAUGUGUUGUUAUCCAAAUCACCAAAACUCACAAAAGGGAUGAAUGCACUUUCAGAACACAAAUCUAUUGUCCCUCAAUUUCCGAAACCAUGAUAGUUGGCGUGCCAGGUAGCAGACCGAUAGCGUGCCAAGUGACAUCUUCCACUCCAAUGACUAGCACUUUAGUGUUCGCCAGUGGCGAAAGAUUCGAUCCAGGAAGUCGCAUCACUUUCAACUCUCUUGACUUCCUCGCCACCGCCACCGGUGAACCCCACCUCGUCCACUCUGACAGCAUCUGAGGCCGCUCGCCGACAUUUGGCGUGCCAGGUAGCCUCCUGGAUCCAUUAUGGCUUCCUCUACCUGCCAAUGGAUUUCAGUAAGGCAAACAACAAAAGCUACGCCUUUGUAAACAUGACUUCGUUGGAGGCGAUUUGUCGGUCGUGCCGCGACCUUACAAAGGCCCACCGCGUUCUGAAGGGAUUGCAAGGGCACUGCUAAGAUCUGUGUGGUCCACCACGAUGAUCAUCAGCCAAGCCCCAUGGCGUACGAGGUUUCCAUCGUCAGCCACCAGCCAAGAUCCGCCAUCGACACCUACGAGGACGGUCCAAGUCGCUACUUAACCGAAGAAGUCUGACGCCCGUCAUCGCUCGGGCAAUUGGCGAGGUGUUUGCACCAUUCAUCUAAAAUGUAGCAUGAGAAUGAACUCUUCGUUUGUAAUAGGAUAGCAAUUACGUGUGAUCCACCCGGUGAGGUCUGCUCUCAUAAACACGGUCUAUGGCAUCCAUCGCCUAACUCUUAUAAGUCCAGUUAUGAAGGAAGAAUUUGCUCUAAGUUCAAUUCUUUUCCUUCUUUAAUUUACAUAUAUUGUUUCCUCUAACCCCCACGUGGUUUCUAACUUAUGUUGUGAUCAUGUAAUUAGCUUGUCGCUUAGUUUGGGCCCCUUUGGUGCUGAACGAGGAUCGAACUGCUAGGGACCUCAGCUAGGGGAAACGACCACAUACCUACAUCGCUGCCAGGUGUUGGCGUAGCAGAGUGCCAGGUCAUUGAUUUACGUACAUAGGUUUUUCAUUUGAUAAAUUUGGAAAUAGUUAUGUUCAAUUUGAGAUUCUAGUUAUUUGAUUGAGGAGGGGAGGGGCGCCGGUGCUAGAAACCAUCGUGGCGCUAUCGCCUGCCAUCCCUGGUGCUGGAAACCGUCGUGGCGCCAUCGCCUGCCACCCCUAUGAGGCCUAAAUUCGCGAGGACACAAGGAGGAGCUCGCCGCCAUCAUCCUUAGAAACCGCUUGAGACUUUUGGCUGCUGACUUUGGUGGCUGCAAGGCAGAGAGGGGAGGAGGCAGGGGCCAGGGCUAGGGUUUAGUGUCGUCCGAGCCACUCGUGAUUGAUAGCUCGGGGAUUGGAAUUAUGGUUUUCACUCAUAAUUUGAAAUACAUUUAUACAUGUUACAUAGUAGACACGUUGAGAUCGAGCAUAAUGAGCAAAACUUAUUGUAAAGAUUUUCAACAUGUUUGAAUGUGAUAACUAGGAAUAUUAAAUGUAAUAAUACAAGAAACGUUUGCCUCACCUGAUUUCUCUCGAUCCUUCUAAGUUCUAACAUAUUCUACUGGCCACAAUCGUAAAUCAAAAUUUCUGUGUAUAGCCGAUUUACAAUGGUACAAUAAAAUUCAGAUUUUUUUCGUACGCAUCCAAGUAGUGCUCUCUGCUCUUUCGAGCCUUUUUUUUUUGAGCAACAUGUAGUAUGCUCGACCUUGUCGGCGUUAAUUCCUGGCAGGCUGGCACGAUGCCAAUGGACACCCGCCUCGGCCAUGCCUUCCACACCUAAACUGUCCUUUUUGCAUUUCAGCCCUUUUUGGGUUUAUUUUCACAAAUACGUCCUUUUCAGUUUUAUUUAAAAAAUGGACCUUUAGCUCGACGCCAUCACUAUUGGCGCCGAGCUACAACGUGUCGGCGCCAAUUAGUUUGGCGUGUACGUGUAAGAGUCCACACGUACGUGGACCUGACGUGGCAGCACCUCGGCGCAAUGGAUCUCGGCGCCGAGGUUGGCGCCAUGGAUCUCGGCGCCGAACUCCGUGUCUAUAAAUAACCCACUCCGACCAUCAGUUCUUUCUACUCAUUUCUCUUCUAUCAAACGACAAACAUCAACUUAAAUCAACGACUUGGAUCCAUUGUUCCUGUGUAUCAAGGUAAUUUCCCUCCAUUUUUUGGUUUUUUGUUAUGUCUCAUUAAUAUAGUUAGGGUUACGGUUUGGGAAUCAUUUUUAGAAUCAUUUUUGAUCGUCACAUUAUCGUUUUGUAGAAUGUCUAGGCGUGAUAAAUCUACUAAACAAAGGUAAGCGUUGUAUUAAAUAUAAUAACUAAUAUUUGUGAGCCUUAUAAAACUUAUCGAAAUUUAGGAAGUGUCCAUUGACCGGAACUGCCUUCGACCCGCUUCCUUUGCCAAUUGGUGUUCCAGUGCAAAGUUGACAAGUCCGAGGAUCAUGACACCUAUCGACAGAUGUAUUGGAUGUGUGCUAACUAUGCAUUUGAGUCAACGAUUGUUCAGCGCCAAAUAUUAGUUAUUACAUUUAAUACAACACUUACAUUUGUUUAGCAAUUUACUGCGCUUAGACAUCCUACAAAUCGAUAAUAUGACGAUAAAAAAAUGAUUCCCAAACCGUAACCCUAACUCUAUUAAUCAAACAUAACAAAAAACCAAAAAAUGGAGGGAGAUUACUUUGAUACACACGAACAAUGGAUCCAAGUCACUGAUUUAGUUGAUGUUUGUCGUUUGAUAGAAGAGAAAUGAGUAGAAAGAACUGAUGACCGGAGUGGGAUAUUUAUAGACACGGAGGUCGGCGCCGACCUCGGCGUCGAGAUCCAUGGCACCGAGGUGCUACCACGUCAGGUCCACGUAGUUGUCGACUCUUACAUGUACACUCCAAACUAAUUGGCGCCGACACGUUGUAGCUAGGCGCCAAUAGUGAUGGCGCCGAGAUGAGGGUCCAUUUUUUGAAAUGAAACUGAAAAGGGCGUAUUUGUGAAAAUAAAACCCAAAAAGGGCUAAAAUGCAAAAAAGAUGGUCGACUCUUAUAUGUACACGCUAAACUAAUUGGUGACUACACGUUGUAGCUCGGCACCAAUAGUGAUGGCGCCGAGAUGAGGGUCCAUUUUUUGAAAUGAAACUGAAAAGGGCGUAUUUGUGAAAAUAAAACCCAAAAAGGGCUAAAAUGCAAAAAAAGGAUGGCACACCUAAACCAAUCUAGGUCUGGGUCUAGAAAAAAAGGUAGGGGGUUGAUGACGUGAGCAAAUAGGGAUAGCAUCGGAUACAUACCCAUUGGGUAGUACCAUUCUGUAUCUGUACCCAUAACAAAAUUCUACCUGCUGAGUUACCCAUAUAUGCUCGUGGGUAUAAAAUCUUAACCAUACUCGUACCCGCGUAGGUAAUUUUACUUGUCGGGUAACCCGUACCCGCUAGGAAAGUCUUAAAUUCUAAUAUACCAAUCACUCAAAAUAUUAAAUAAACAUAAAAACAAGUUAGACAAAUCAUAUGAUUACAUAACUUGGCAGUUAGACAAAUGAUAGCUAGAGAAGGGUUUUAUUUUAGCUAAGAUGCGGGUAUAUUUUACUCAUGGGUAGACGAGUAUGGGUAGUACCAACCCGUACCUGCCUACCCAACGAGUAGAGAUUCUUGCCCAUUUACAUACCCGCGGAUAGAGAAAUCAUCCCGUACCCACCUUCAUACCAGGUAAAACCCGUCACGUAUUCGGGUUUUGGGUACCCAUUACCAUCUCUACAUGGUGUGGGCCAGGCAACGUGACCUGGGAGCAAAUCUUACUUGGACCUAGACACAUAGGCAGCUCGAUGUUUUGAUUGGCAAAGUCGUUCGGCCCAGUAUUACCAUCGAUCCGAAGGGGAAGGGCCCUACACGAGAUACCACCUAUGCGAAUUGUGGAAGGAGGACCAUCCCCAAGGCCAGGUCGCGCUGCCAGGCCCACACCAUGCAAAUGCGUGGGGGACGCGAUCAAGCGCAACGUCGCCACCAUCAGUGAUGCGCCGACGCAGCCUAGAUACCUCUAGGUUUAGAAAUUGAUGCGCUGAUAGCGUUCUAGGAAAUGCUAGAACAAUGGAAUAAGUUGAAAAUUGGAAUUCAUCACUACCAUUAAACUCCUUGAGUUAGACACCUGGUGUUGCACUCACUUUUUGUAAGAAGGAAGAAUGAAUCCAUUUAUAUUGCAAGAAGGUAUAGUGGUGGGACAACAAAUUUUGUGUAAUUAUAUAACAAAUUAUUACAAGCAGUUGUUUGGAGAAUCGCAAAGUAAUCAUUUUUCCUUAAAUGAGGAUAUACGGGAGGAUAUCCCGCAAGUAUCAGAGAGGGAAAAUGAGCUCCUAACAGCAGAGUUUUUUGAAGAGGAGAUUAAGGGCAUGUUUGGUUCCCUGCCUAACGUGCCACACUUUGCCUAAUUUUUCUGCCUAAGGUUAGUUCUUCAAUUUGAACGACUAACCUUAGGCAAAGUGUGGCGUAGUUAGCCACGAACCAAACAUGUCCUAAGGCAGCACUUUUCCAAAUGGAGCCUAACAAAGCGCCAGGACCAGAUGGAUUCCCGAUGGAAUUCUAUAAAUGCCUUUGGGAAACCAUUAAAUCUGAUUUGUUGGCGAUGUUUGAGGACUUCCAUAAGGGAAAUAUGCAAUUAAAUAGUCUCAACUUCGGAGUGAUUACUCUUGUUCCAAAAAAGAAGCAACGAAGAUUCAACACCAUCGGCUGAUUUGUUUGUUAAACGUAAGUUUCAAGAUCUUCACCAAAGUGAUUGCGAAUAGAGUUGCUCUAGUAGCUGCAAAGGUCAUUAGACCUUCUCAAACGACUUUCAUCCCGAGACAGUUUAUAAUGGAAGGAGUGGUUACUCUCCAUGAAACGAUUCAUGAGAUACAUAGAAACAAAAGGAAUGGGGUCAUUUUAAAAUUAGAUUUUGAAAAAGCUUAUGACAUGGUUAAAUGGCCUUUUGUCCAAUAGGUUCUGAGAAUGAAAGGUUUCUCAUAGUUGUGGUGCUCAUGGAUUCAAAAGAUCAUGUCAAAAGGUAGUGUUUCAGUUAAAGUGAAUGACGAGUACGACCACUAUUUUCAAACCAAGAAAGGAGACAGACAAGGAGAUCCGUUGUCCCCUAUUUUGUUUAAUAUAGUGGUUGAUAUGCUAGCCAUUUUAAUUAAUCGAGCAAAGGAAAGAGGUCAGUUCACAGGUGUCAUCCCGCAUAUUGUUGAUGACGGGCUAUCCAUAAUUCAAUAUGCGGAUGACACAAUUAUCUUUUUAGACAAUAAUCUUGAAGGGGCAAAGAAUAUGAAGCUUCUCCUCUGUGCGUUUGCACACCUUUCUGGUCUUAAAUUUAUUUUUUUCAGAAAAGUGAGCUCUUCUGUUAUGGUGCGGCUAAAGAGCUAGAAUCGGAAUACUCGCAGAUUUUUGGUUGUGUAAAAGGUCAUUAUCCUUUUAAAUAUCUCGAUAUUCCGAUGCACCACAUGAAGCUUAGUAAUAAAGAUUGGAAGGAAUUCGAGGAGAGGUUUAAAAACGUUUAAGUAACUAGAAGGGGAAAAUGUUGUUAGUAGGAGGUCGCCAAGUCCUUAUUAAUUCUGUUCUUAUGAGUCUAGUGAUGUUCAUGAUGUCCUUUUUUGGAGUGCCCAGAGAAAUUCUAGGGAAGCUAGAAUGAAUAAGAUCUCGUUUCUUUUGGAAAGGAGAAGGGCACAAAAAUAAAUACAGGCUGACUAAGUGGAGUAUAGUCUGCACCCCAAGGGACAUGGGAGGUUUGGGAGUCCUUGAUCUUGACCUUCAGAAUAAAUGUCUGCUUAGCAAGUGGUUGUUUAAGUUAAUCAAUGAGGAGGGACUCUGGCAAUCGAUCCUCCGAUGCAAGUAUCUGCGGGAUAAAACAAUUACCCAGGUACAACAUUUACCUGGGGAUUCUCAGUUUUGGGCGGGUCUUAUGAAUGUUAAGGAGGAAUUCCUAAGACUUGGCCACUUUAGACUGGGGAAUGGAACUCAGGUUUGUUUCUGGGAAGAUAAAUGGAUGGGUUACAUCCGUAUAAAAGAUUUGUUUCCUGACUUCUAUAACAUAGUACAUAAAGAAGGGCGACUGUGGCUACCGUUUUGAGAAAUAACCAGAUUGAUGUGGCCUUUCGGAGAUCAUUAGUUGGUAAUAACCUUUUGGCUUGGCAUCAGUUGGUGUCUAUGGUUAUGAGAACUCAACUUACUGAUCAAAAGGAUUUCUUUAUAUGGUCUUUACAUCAACAUGGUAGAUUCACAGUUCGCUCAAUGUACAGGGCCUUAGUUUUGCCGCAGGUUGUUCCAAGGAACCACUCUCUUUGGAAGCUUAGAAUCCCGCUUAAGAUUAAAGUUUUCAUAUGGUACCUUUUGAAAAAUAUUGCUCUAACUACUGACAAUUUAGUAAGAAAACAAUGGAAAGGUUGUUUAAAAUGUGUGACUUGUAUGUUAGAUGAAUCAAUUCAACAUCUUUUUUUAUUGUCAUAUUGCUGGGUGUAUUUGGCGAUGUGUUUAGGUUACUUUUAAUAUUCCACCUCCUACAAGUAUCAACCAUGUGUUUGAUGGUUGGUUACAGGGGGUGGAUAUGAAACUUAAGAACAAAAUUUGGUUUGGAGCUUGCACCAUAUGCUAGGUGAUUUGGCUAUGUCGAAAUGAUGUGAUUUUUAACAAUGCUCUAGUACCCACACCUAUACCUAUGCAGAUAAUCUUCAGAGGAACUUAUUGGAUGAGGCAAUGGGUGCUGCUACUAAAGGAAGACGCCAGAGCGCAAGUUAGGUUGGGGGUGUCGCCAACUGGAGGUGAUAAUGAUGCAAAUUUUUGCAAACAAUGGCCGGAACUUCAGUAGUCGCAUUUGCUUGUAAUAAGUAUGUGUGUUUUACCUAUGUGUAUGGGUUUGGUUUGGUUUUGUGGUGGGAUGUAAGACAUUAUCUAUUCGUGAACAGCUACAUGCAUGUUGUUAUGCAGCGUUUGGAAUAAUAAAAUUAUUCCCAACUCUAAAAAAAAUUAUCAGAAGAGCACGGUUACUUUCAAGUUUUAACCAAGCACAACUUUAUAAUUAACAAACUGGUACAAGAGUUUUACACCACACUUUACUAUACAAGUAUUCAUCCAUAGGGGAGGGGACUAUAACUUCACAGUACACACUAUGGGCAGAUAGGGUUCCCUGGUUUCUAUAGCAUAACUGAUGAUUUGCUCACAGCCUAUAUAUAGCUAUUUACACAUAACACACUUAUGUGUAUUCUCUAGCUCCUCUUAUUUAUUACCUGAGCAAUCAUAAACUUCUUAACACAAUAUAUCAGCACAUUUACUUCAAUGGCUAAGAUAUCUAUUUCAUGCGUAGCAGUAGUUCCUGUCUGGUGGUUCUUCACAUCAUCCUUCACUCCUGAGAAAGGUAAAGCCAAAGACAUGCAUACUCCAUAAGUUUAUCUGAACAGUGACCAUACUUGUAAUGUACUCUUGAUAGGAAAUCAUUUAUGUUGCAUUUGGAUCUGAGUACGUAGCAAUGAAACACGGCUCUACUUUUAUUUUGUGCUAGCUUUGUAUAUAAGCAUGCCUUCUAGUUUUGUUUAAAACAGGCGCGCGGCUUGUCAAUUGUCUACUUAACUAUGAUUUUCAAGUCAUGUGUAUUUACAACUACCUCCAUUCACAUGUAUUGAGAUGGGUUGAGAUGUAAUUUAUAACCAGCUUAAUUUACACCCUAAUCCACCUCAAUACAUGAGGAUUGAGGUAAAUAAUAGAGUAUCCAAACAAAGUCUCAAGGGUACGAAUGGCUCUGCGUGCCUUUUUAACUUUGAAGAGAGCAUGCAUGUUGCCUUUUGCAAAAGACACAUAGAACUUCCUUCUUUUGCAAUAAGUACUGCUGAAAAGGAGAUACUAAGUGCCUGUUUGGGAGGGCUCCCGGGCAGCUCUAGCUCCGGCUCUUUGCUGGAGCCCUCCCAAACGACGCCAGGAAAACGGCUCUAUAUACAGAGCCAGAGCCCGUUUACUCGUAAGGAGCCGGAGCCCAAAAAACUGGCUUUGCACAGCUCCGCUCCUUCUCUCCCACGCGCAGACCUCUGUCCCGGGCGCAGUUCACCGUCGUUCCUCCAGCGACACAGCUCCUCGCGGUCAUGGUCCCGGCAUGGAUCUGUGGUAGCCGAGCCCAGAUCUGGUGGGCUGGGGGUUGGGGCUAGUCGUGCCGCCAUGGAGCCUUGGCCGGCGCCCCGUCCUUGGCUCGUCCUUGCCGGCGCCCUGUUCGGCGGAUCGUCGGGCGCCGUGUGGAGAUCGGUGCCAUACUGCCAUGGAACCCAAGGUGUUCAAAAAUACGCUGGUCCACUUCAUGUACACCAACACGCUGGCACCCAUGGAGAAAGAACAGCAGGGCGUCGUCGCAAUGAUCUAGGAUCUGCUCGCAGCGGCGCAUCAGUACAAGCUCAAGAUGCUGAAGUUCUUGAGAUGCUGUGUUAGCACAUCGAGUUGGACAUGGUUGCCAGGACCAUGGCGCCAUGAGAAGAAUACACAAGGAGCUAUUUUUGCCAAACGAUUUAGAAAAAGCACCGGCUCCUAUGGAUAAGCUGCUCUUGUAAAGGAGUAGGAGCGAGAGCCAUAUUUCCAGAAGCCGGAGCCCUCCCAAACGGGCCCUAAAGUGCAUGUCUGCCACAAGCCUAGAAGUCUGGAACUGAAGUAUAAGGGUUAGAGUACAAGAUAUUAACUCUUGUUUUGGGCCACGGAGAUUAUUUGGUUAGGGUUAAAAUCUCACAUGGUUAAGCGACAAUGUGACUCUAGGUGCCUAACAUUUUGAACAAGCUAUAGAGCCAAUUCCGCAUACCUAGUGUAGUGGUAACAUCGAGCUGUCUCACUGAGUCACUGGGUCACAUGUUCUUAGCAGCCUCUUCGUAUUUGCCUGAGAAAGGCUUGUCCUUGAUUUAUCCCUUAUGAAGACCCACUUAUGUAGGAGCCUCUAGCACUAGCGCCUACCCUUUUUUACAGAGCCAGUUCCUGGGGCUGUGUACAAACUGCAAGCCAGCUUGGUCACACACCAGCAGGAUUGGAGGCUACUGCAUGCAUGAUGACCUGACUGAAUCUCAAAUAUGUGUCGUCGUCGCUAUGUUUAAGUUAUUUAGUUUCUGUAAUAUUACAAGCGCUCUAAUGUUGCAUCCAACCUAACGGGCAGAACAGCAAAUUAAAGGAAACGACACAGUGUUACCCAUCUAGGGCAUGAUGCAUGGUUGUAAUGGCUGACACCUUCCUUGUGUUACCUUAGUUCCAAGCUCCCUGCGUGUUGUAGUUGGGGAAUGGAACUCUGCCGGAUUCGAUGAGCGUGACAUCCUCAUUAAGGAUCUCGUGAUGGCGGCGAACCUCGUCGGCUGUCUUGAUGCCACCCAUGGCACGGGCCACCUUGUGCCAGCGGUCGGGUGUGCCCGCGCCGUAGCAGGCUAGGGCCUCCUCGAACAGCUUGUUCUCCUUUUUGCUCCACUCGGAAUCAAUGGUAACGUUGUGAGACGAAGAGCUCCUGGACCCAGACAUCUCUGGUUUUAUGUGUAGACUGAUCUUCUUGUUGGAUGGCUGGACUGAAGUCGUUUUUAGCUCUUGCAAGCUCUGCUGUUUUGAUCUCGUUGCUGCUAUAGGGUGGCUACUAUUUAUAGGCACUUGGCAAACGUGAACUGCUUGCUGUUCACGUUGCCGUCCUCCUUUGCUGUAGGCUCAAAGCUUCAAAGGCUACAGAUUCUCUCAUGUUUUGAACUCGGGAUUCACUACAGGAGUGGUGUGUGCACGUGGACGUGCGUGGGCAUCGUGGAAAAAGGGAAUCCCAAUACAUUCUGUUCUGCGUAUAUAGGUAAACUGAUGAUCCUAUUAAUUUGUUCUUCAAACCUUCUGACAUUGCGUUACAUUGUCAAUAGUCAGAUAUGACAUGUCUGCGGAAAUGCUAUUGGAUCACGUUAUUUUCUUUACAGCAGAAAUGCUAUUGGAUCACGUUAAGGCUAGUCCAUACCCUAAUAGCAGUUGAAAAUGGUUUCUUGAAAAUAAUAUUUGAAUUAAAUAUAAAAGUGCAGAGUGUGAUCUAUAUAUAUUGUGCCUUUUUCCUUAAAAAUGAUGAGAUGAGCAUGGCUUCUCUUGACUAAGAGGUUAUUGCAGUUUUUAGUAAAGUUACAUAUGUGGAACAUGUAUAACUAUGUAAUAAGCCGUAAUUAUGUCAAAAAAUGUGAUUCUAAUUGGCACUUUGUACAGCGGUCACACCAUAAGACACUACCAAGAAACCGAGAUUUCAUGAGGGUUUUUUUUUUGUGAGAUGCAUAAACAAAUUGCCAUGCAACAAACAAAAAAAACCGUGAAGGCAUUAUUAUUACAUGAAGUGUCCACAAAAAAAUCGAGGUCACAACUAUAGGCUACCACGUAUGUAUCAAUGUAUCGCUGGACUUAUUUGAGCCCCUGUUGCUUGCCAUUUCAUUUGUAGUUAGCACACAAAAAGGUUGUCACUUUGUAGUCACUACCGGAAUCAGCUUCUUUGCCGUGUGUUCUAAACACACGGCAAAGGCUAUUUUACACUCGGCAAAGCCUUUGCCGAGUGUAACACUCGGCAAAGAACGCUCGGCGAACUGUACAUCGGCAACAGCUUCUUUGCCGAGUACUUUUUGUCGGGCACUCGGCAAAGACUUUGCCGAGUGCCAUUUGGCACUCGGCAAAGAAAAGUCACCGUCACGGCGCCAAGUGACGGUGACGGAUCCUUUACCGAGUGCCAACGGCGACACUCGGCAAAGACUGGUCUAGUGGACCCCACAGCCAGUCUCUGUGCCGAGAGCCCUAGUAGGCACUCGGCAAAGGAGGUUUCUUUGCCGAGUGUCUGGUGGACUGGCACUCGGCAAAGAACCCUCCAGUGGGCCCCUUUGCCAGUCCCUUUGCCGAGUGCCUUGGCAACGGCACUCGGCAAAGACAUCUUUGCCGGUUCCCAGGUUUCCUUCUUUGCCGAGUGCCAUUGUCAGCACUCGGCAAAGAUGGCUUUACCGGUUCCCAGGUUUCCUUCUUUGCCGAGUGCCAUGGUCAUAGCACUCGGCAAAGCGACCUUUGCCGAGUGUUACACUCGGCAAAGUGACCAGGAUGUCCCUUUUUUAUUUGUUUUUGCUGUUCCAUCCAAACAAACAAAAGAUAUAUAUCAUUCACAUCACAUUAUAUAUCAUUCGCAUCACAGAAUCAACACAUUUAUCAUCAACACCAUAUAUAUCACAAAUAUCACCACAUAAAUCAGGUUUCACAGCACAUAAGUCUCAUUAAGUAUCUCACAAGACCAAGUAUAACUAACAUCACCAACACUCACAAAUAUAAGUUUGGAUCAUCACAAAACAGAUAUAAGUCUGGAUCAUCACUAACAUCACCAAGUAUCUCACAAGACCAAGUCUAGCCAAACAUCACCAACACUCACAAGACCAAGUCUGGAUCAUCAACGAGGUGGGCAUCUGGACUGGUUCGGCGAAGGGCUGGACGAAGCAUGAGGGUUGUUCGACGCCGCCGAUUGACGCUGCACAGAGAAUAGAUUGUAUGUGUGAGAACAUAUGAAUAUAUAUCAUGCAGUACUAAAAUUUUGAUACUCACAGGAGUAGUGAACUCAGCAGGGUCAGUUGCAGGGAACAACGGAGGUGGUGGAGCAUGACCCUGUGCGGCGCCAAGGCUCUGCACGUACGCGAACAAAUCCGACAUCCUCUUCUCCAGCUCCUCACGUUGCCUCCUCUCAUCAUCUAGCUGAGUCUGUAAUAUUUCGCCCUAAUGUUACGAUAAUGCAAAGAGAAGAUAUAUAAAAAUUAAUGAACGAUGAAUAGAUAAGGAAUAACCUGGAGUUGCUGGAUACGAUGCUGUGAGGUGUCCUGCCGAGGUCGUAUGGCUGGGCUCGCGCUCGUGCUCCUUGCUCGCACCUGAGAGAGAGUGGGAGUGGAGGACGAGUCGAUUGCCCCGUCGGCAAUCCAGUACCGCCCAUGCCUCUUGCCUCCUCCGACCCUCAUGAGGACAUCUCCGUCGAUGUCCUCGGUCCUCGGAUCGUAAUCUGGCCCAUGGACCUCCUUGGCCAUUGCGGUGUACUCACUGAGUCGGCUGUGGAUGGCGGGGUUGGUGUACGCCUCGGGCCCGUCAUCCGGGUUGUAGGUGACGUCGGACGUCGCCUUCCCCUUGUGGGCCAUGGCAUAUGCCGAGAACGUGGAGCAAGGCGCGCCACCAUGUGCCGCCGACUGCGAGAAAACCAACGAUAUGGUUAGAAAUCAUGUCUAAUCGAAAGUUAUAUACCUAAAUAAAAAAGAGCGCGUACCCAUGCUUCCGCGUAUUUGCCCAGGCUGCGGCUGCCUUGAUGGUGGGAGGGACCUUGCAUCAGCAAACGCCGUUCCCGGCUAGCGUUGUGCGCCUCGUCCCACUCAGCCGAGCACCACCUCUGCACCAUCUUCUCCCAGCACUCAGGAUGCGCGGCGCACCAAUGAGGAAUCAUCUAAAAAAUAUAAGUACACCGCAUAUCAGAAGAUAAGAAUAAGCAUAUUUAGUACCAAUAAUAAAGUUUUGUAUUUACCUGCAAGUACUGGUCCGCAGUCAAUGACAUGGUUCGGGCGUCCUUCUUGGUCACCUUCUCCCCAAGGACGGAGCCGUGGUAAGUGACGAUGGCCUGGAUGCGCGCCUCGUAGUGCAUGUCCACGACGAGCUUCUUACAGCACGUCGUAGACACCACAUCCGCCCUGGCCUCGUAUCCAGCAUCGCACCUGAAGAAAUCCUACAUACAAAGACGAUGUAUCCAUACAUUAUUUAAAGAAUAUGCAACAAAUGCGACUUAUUAAACAAUAUAGUGCGAGAAAGACUUACCCACAGCUCUUGCUUGACCCGCUCCGCCUUGUUGUUGAAUUGUCUGCCGUCCCGAUCUACUGCAUCGGGGGCGACGGCGUAGUGGUCGAAGGUGUACGCUGGGCUCGUCACUCCGGCGUACUCGACAAGCCCAGGGAAGUGUUCCCGGCAUAGAAGGCCGAGGAUGCCAUUGGGGUUGCGGCCGUGACCCCCUGCAGUCUCCAAAACCAUCCAAGACCUGUCGAAGUGAUUAAGAUGAAGUAUUAGUUUCUAUUAUUAAUUUGAACAUAUAAUAUGAAAAAGCAGCAACAACAUCUAAAGUUACCUACCUCUCUCCAUCGGGUCGUAUGAGGGGACGUCUGUCACGAAGAAUGGGUCGCUUAGGUAGGCUCGCGGGACCUCGCAGGUAGAUACUCCUCGAACCUGAGGAGCCAGAACCUGAGACGCCCUGCUGAGCGGCGGCGUCGUCGUCGUCGUCCUGCUGCGCCGCAUCGUCGUCGUCCUGCUGCGCCGCAUCGUCGUCGUCCUGCUGUGCCGCAUCGACAGCGGCUUGCUGCUCCACCUGCUGCUGUACAGCGUCGUCCUGCUGCGCCUCCUCCUCCGUCCUACGGGUGCUCCUCCUCCCCCUCCCCCUCCCCCUCCUCGUUCUCGUCCCACCGCCCACCAUCUUUGUCCAACAACCUGCAAUUAAGAGUAAACAAUUAAGCACAGAUAAAAAAAUAUGUAUUUAGAAACAUAUGCAAAAUAAAUGAAAUAUAGCAUUACAUCGAUUAAAAAUAAUCUUCAUAUGUGUCCGGGUUAGCCGGAUCAUAAGUGUCAUCAUCACUAUCAACCAUUUCAUAGUCAACAUCAUCUGAAGGCACAACUUCGUCAUUGGCAUUGCUUUCAAGUAUUUCUAAGUCAUUCUCAUUUUGCACCUCAUCAUCCUCGUCAUCAACAACCAUUUCAAUAUCUACUUCCAUUCCGAUCGCUUCGGUUAAGUCUAUCUCAAAUUGCCCUUCGAGCCCAUCUUCUUGGAAGAACUCUCCGUCAUAUGUGUCCGGGUCUAAGUUAUAAUCUUCAUCGUUUGGAACAGGUAAUUUAGCGUGCGGUGAUACCUUAUACACAACAUCCCAACCCUUAAGAUGUUGUUUCGUUUGGCACGCAUAUGGAAGAUAAUACACUUGUGUGGCCUGUUGGGCCACAAUGUAGACAUCGUCUCCUGUUAAGGUGGAAUCCUGUCGAAUUUCGACUAUCCCAAGAUUAGAAUGUGUCCGUCUCGUAACUUCAGGGUCAAACCAAUGACAUUUGAAUAUCACUGGAGUAAGAGGUUUGGAACCAUAAAAAUUGAGUUCAUAUAUUUCUUCAAUUCUUCCAUAAUACUCGACCUCGUCAAGCCCGGGCGUAAAGACUCCAGAACACGUGGUUUUUCGAUUGGGCCGACUUUGGUCGUAGCUUGUUGUGCGAAAACGGUAUCCAUUGAUGUCAUACCCAGAAAAUUUCCUGACCCUAUAGGCAAAGCCAUUGGCUACUUGUCUCAACUCGGCACUCAUAGACGGCUCUCUUUGGCCCUGCAAGUUCAAACACGCUAGAUUGUUAUAUUAUUCGCACGUAAGAGCAAUUUGGAAUAACAAACUAAGCACGUACCUUAUGUUUAAACCAGGAAAUGAAAUCGGGCAAUCCAUUUCCCGCACCCUUUCUAAGAAGGGUAUCAUAUUCCUGUGGAGUUGGGUCCCUUGAUCGACGCCAGAAUUCAUGAAUAAAUUGCUCCAUGUAUGGCGUCACCUCUUCAAGGUUGGUCAAUACAUAUAGCAUGAUAUGGCGCCACUCUUCAUGUCUCAGGGUCUUGGUGGUCGAACCACUCGCGCUUCCGAGUUGCCCUCGAAAAAUGCUGAGGUUCGAUUCAUUGCCGCCAUCAUUGUAACGAGGGGGUGGAUUAUGCACGCUCGGCAGUUUGUCACCAUAGUAAGUUGUUGUGAAGUUUGACACCUCCUCCAGUAUGUAUGCCUCUGCAAUGGAAGCCUCGAUUUUGCAUUUAUUUCUACAUUUCUUUCGGAUACUCUUUAGACAUCUCUCGAUUGGAUAGCACCAACGUCCCUGCACGGGCCCCCCCAUUCGUGCCUCAUAUGGGAGAUGAAUAAUCAAAUGCUGCAUCGGAUUGAAGAAGCCGGGUGGAAAGAUCUUCUCCAGCUUACACAGUAACACGGGUGCCAUCCUUUCCAAGUCUGCAAUCAUGGUCCGAGCUAACUCUUUUGCACAAAGCUGGCGAAAGAAAUAGCUCAACUCUGCAAGCGCUAGCCAGACAUGCUCAGGGACAUAGCCUCGAACCAUCGCCGGAAGAAUUCGUUCAAUCCAUAUGUGGAAGUCAUGACUCUUCAUCCCUAAGACUCGCAGAGUAGAUAAGUUCACCCCCCUACUAAGGUUAGCUGCAUACCCAUCAGGGAACAUUAACAUCUUGAUCCACUGUAGUACUUCCUUCCUCUGGGCCCUGCUCAGGACGAAAUCGGUGGCGUCCACGCUGCUCCAGCUCCGGCUCCUGCAAGCCAGGUGUCCUGCGCCCCGAGCCCGUACCAACAUGGCGGCCACAACGCUCGAGCGCCAACGCCAACUCCAGUUCAAGGCUACCAGCCAGCCAGCGCUCCUAGUCCGUACCGCCAUGGUGAUCGUGGUCCCUACGAGAGCGUGGAAAGUAACAUGGCUAUGCGCAUAGGUUAGGAGGAUUUUACCAUCAGUCCAUCAGCUGCUUCAACAUCGACCUGGGUGGGUUUGCCCUCGUCCCAGGCAUAGAACAACGAGCUCGAGCGGUAGUGCACUGCCAUACCCAUUCGGACAAGCACUUCUCCGUUCUUGCACCGGUGCUUCUAGUCAAGAACACAAAGGGCUGCUAAAAGUUUUGCAUUGACUACUGUGAGCUAAAUGACAAGACAUCCAUGGAUAAGUUCUCAAUCUCUAUGGUCGAUGAUCUACACUAUGAGCUCUAUGGUGUCAAAUACUUCACAAAGCUAUACUUGUCGUUCGGCUAUCACCAUGUGAGGAUGCAUCCUAUGGACAUCAGAAGACGACAUUCUAUACCCACCACUACCACUUCAAGUUCCUUGUCAUGCCCUUGAGAGACUCAACAAUUAGACAAUUAGACAACAAAUUAGACAACAGUGUUUACCUUGGAGGCGGGCGAACGGAGGCGGUGGGGCGCGGCGGUGGGGCGCGGGCGGCCGGGCGCGGCCGGCGUUGAGGGCGGCGGCGCGGCCGGCGUUGAGGGCGAGCGCGCGCAGGCGGCGAGCGCGCGAGGGCAGGCGACGGCGGUGAGAGGCGCGGGAAGACGGCGGCGGUGAGAGGCGCGGGAAGACGGCGGCGCGCGAGGGCAGGCGACGGCAGCGAGCGCGCGUGGGAAGACGGCGGCGGUGAGAGGCGCGGGAACAAAUUAAGAAGAAGCAAAGCCAGAAGGAAGAAGAAAGCCGGCCGUGCGGCCGGUUAAAGUUUGUUUCUUUGCCGAGUGCCCGUGAUCCGGCACUCGGCAAAGAUUUUUUUUAAAUAUUAAAAUAUUCUUUGCCGAGUGCCGGAUCGGCGGCACUCGGCAAAGAGUUCUUUGCCGAGUGUCCCCCGUUGCGGCACUCGGCAAAGGUUCUGUACUACCUCUUUGCCGAGUGUCACACAUCUAGCACUCGGCAAAGAAGUCUUUGCCGAGUGUCAUCCCUAGACACUCGGCAAAGUGCAUUUGUAUUUUUUUUAUUUUGUCUCCCAAACUUUUUGUGGUAUGUUCCUACACUAUGUAGAUCUACAUGUAUCAUUUGUGGACAAUUUUAACAGAGUUUGAAAUAGCUAGUAGAUUUAGUUUGUUUAUUUGAAUUUCUUCGGAAAAUUCAAAUUUGAACUGCAGGUCACUCAAAACUUGGAAAACCGUGCAUGAAAAAAUGAUAUUCAUGUUACUUAGCAUAAGUUACGACCGAUUCCAUGAGCGGACCGAAAACUUCGAGCAACAUGCUCACUAAACAUGGCCGUGAACUUGCCAUCCACAUGUUUAAAAAUUGUAUAAAACACAAACAAAGUCAGAAAAUCAUGAAACUUGUCCACGUGUCAUGAUAUCAUAUGUACAGGUUGUGAUAAAAAAUUGAGAAUGUUUGGAGAAAGUUGUGAGACAUUAUGUGUAGAAACCUAAGAGAACCACACAUGAAAUCAUAGAGUUUCAAUGUGGAUCUCUUAGGUUUGUACACAUAGUGCGUUACAACUUUCUCGAAACUUUUUCAAAUUUUUAUCACAGCCUCUACAUAUGAUAUCAUGACACGUGGACAGGUUUCAUGAUUUUCUGACUUUGUUUAUGUUUUAUACAAUUUUUAAACACCUGGAUGGCAAGUUUACGGUCAUGUUGAGUGAGCAUGGUGCUCGAAGUUUCCGGUCCGCUCCUGAAAUCGGUCGUAACUUGUGCUAAGUAGCAUGAAUAUCAUUUUUGCAUGCACGGUUUUCCAAGUUUCGAGUAACCUGCAGUUCAAAUCUGAAUUUUCCGAAGAAAUUCAAAUAAACAAACUAAAUGUACUAGGUAUAGAAAACACUGUUAUAAUUGUCCCAAAAUGGUACAUGUUGGUCUACAUAGUGUUGGAACAUACCACAAAAAGUUUGGUGACCAAAAUAAAAAAAAUAAAAAAAUGAUUUGCCGAGUGUCUACAUAGGACACUCGGCAAAGACCCUGUUUGCCGAGUGCCAGAUAUUUGACACUCGGCAAAGACUGACGGCCGUCAGUUGUAGACGGCCGCUAACGGCCCUUUGCCGAGAGCCGUAUUUGCCGAGUGCUUGACCCUCGGCAAAGCAGUCUUUGCCGAGUGCUUGGAUGUGCCGAGUGUUCUACACUCGGUAAACUAACUCUUUACCGAGCGCAGAACUUUGCCGAGGGCGGUACUCGGCAAAUUCUGCUUUGCCGAGUGCCCGAUAAAAAACACUCGGCAAAGCCUUCGGCACUCGGCAAAGGCACGGAUUCCGGUAGUGGUGCAGAGGUCUUGUGUCAUAUUGUUGGAAUUUGCUAGCUUUUUAAAAUAAAAACAAGGUGUACAUAACUAAGCAGUGCAACAGAACAUCAUUUGUUUGACAUUUUUCUGUUAUUCAGAUAUUAGUGGGAAAAAAGAUUGAUCUUAAUUUUCUGGUCAGGUUUCUACCUUCAUUUUCUUCUAAAAAAAUGCGACAAACAUGCAGACGACGACGAUGAAAAUACAUAUAAAAAACUCGACGUGGUGAGGAAGAGACUCCGGUAAUUAUAUUAAAAAGAUGUUCUCAUCGAAAAAAACUUGAAAUAUAUGUCUCACUCAUACACAACGACAUCGUAACCCAUGUGAGAUAACGACCAUUACCGGACCAACUCAGCUAGAGAUCCUUUCCCUUACAAUAAAAAUACAUACCGAAGGAUAUUGUUCUCAAAUUAAGAGCUAAUUUGGUGAUCAGAGAUUUGGAGAGGAUCCCUAGAAGAGAAAAUCCCGUCCUAUUCAAAAUUAAUUAACAAGAGGUUUUCUCUCUAAGGAUCCCCUUUAAAUCUCUAUUCACCAAACCAGUUCUAAGGCAUCAGAGCUACCAUGGCAAUCCAGAAACCUUUUAUCUCAAUUCAGAGGGUAUAUAUCUUGGGUUCCAUGUAGUGGGUGUGGGUGGUAUCUGGACGCAUGCACCCAAUUUCCAUCUGUAGGCCGUAGCUCAGUAGUUGACCCUGUAGCCUGUACUACUGCAUGCAGUUCUCUGCACUGAGGGGCCAUGGUCAUGGUGUCAGCAUUCGGGAAAAUCUGCAAAAAGAUCUUAGCGAUGGGAUGGAGAAAUACUGCUAUAAGAAGAUGAUACCCAGGCCCGGCAGGCUUGAAAGGACGAGCUGUCUUUAGCUCUUUGUUCUGUUUGAGCAUGAACUAAUCUAUGAAUUCGAACAUUGACUUCUUUAAUACGUCUUGGGACAGCUUGCCUCUUUCCUUGCCAUAGCUAUUAGGUAACUCCAGGUAAAUGCCCCGGUCAGUCUAGUUUCUUAGGCUAUGUCUAGCGGCACGCGACGUCUCGCAUGCGCAUUUUGCAUGAUCACAUCGCAUUAUUCAUGUUUCCCUACAGAUCACCGAUCACGGAUGCCGUCGUGUAAAAUGAGCGUCUAGCCGCCCGGUUGUGCAUUUUUCCGCAUUUUCUCUCUGCAGGAGAUGAUCAACAAGCGCAUCCACGAGUUUUUCCAUUGCGCAAACGGACGUCUAAUAUAUAGAUAUAUAGAAAUAGAUAUCUAGAAAAAGAAACGAACUAAUAUAUAGAUAAUCGAAAUCGAAAAGAACUGUCUUUUCUGUAUACUUUCCCGUUCUAUUGCUACCGCGGGUCUUAUGCAAUCGAUUGGAUCAUAUAGAUAUCCCUUCAACACAACAUAGGUCAUCGAAAGGAUCUCGGACGACUCACCAAAGCACGAAAGCCAGUUAGAAAUUGGAUUCCUAUUUGAAGAGUGCCUAACCGCAUGGAUAAGCUCACAUUAACUCGUCAAUUUUGGAUCCAAUUCGGGAUUUUUCUUGGGAAGUUUCGGGAAGAAAUUGGAAUAAUAUUGAUUCAUACAGAGGAAAAAGUUCUCUAUUGAUGCAAACGCUGUACCUAGAGGAUAGGGAUAGAGGAAGAGGGAAAAUCGAAAUAAAAUAAAUAAAGAAUAAAGCCAAAAAAAAGUCGAAGAUAGAAGAGCCCAGAUUCAAAAUGAAGAAAUGGAAACUCGAAAAGGAUCCUUCUGAUUCUCAAAGAAUGAGGGGCAAGGGGAUUGAUACCGAGAAAGAUUUCUUCUUAUUAUAAGACGUGAUUUGAUCCGCAUAUGUUUGGUAAAAGAACAAUCUUCUCCUUUAAUCAUAAAUGGAAAGUGUUCAAUUAGAACAUGAAAACGUGACUCAAUUGGUCUUAGUUAGUCUUCGGGACGGAGUGGAAGAAGGGCGGAGACUCUCGAACGAGGAAAAGGAUUCCUUCGAAAGAAUUGAACGAGGAGCC